rnacentral:lncRNA from 1 species
UAGUGGGAAGCUGCAAGCUUCACGUGCUCAACUUUGGCAGAGAACUUUGGCAAAGUUAUCUGUGAUACACCAUGAGCUACUAUUGCGUGUGGGAAGUGGGUGAUUGAACAGUAAGACUCAUGUGCUUUCUACUUCACCAGAAGUCUUCGACAGAAUGCCCAUAAUUUCCGCAAAGCUGAGUGUGCGUGUGACAGGUGCUGCCAAGGCUGGAAAAGUAGGUGCCUCUUCGAUUUCUGAGAUCGGCCCUCGUGGUCUCUGAGCAGCCCAACUUUUGAGAAAGCAAGCGCCUCUUCGAUUUCUGAGAUCGGCCUUCGUGGUCUUUGAGCAGCCCAACUUUUGAGAAAGCAGACGCCUCUUCGAUUUCUGAGAUCGACCCUCGUGGUCUCUGAGCAGCCCAGCUUUUGAGAAAGCAAACGCCUCUUCGAUUUCUGAGCAGGCGCCUCUUCGAUUUCUGAAGCUCCGUCGAGUGCAGAUUUUUAUAGGGGCUGGCAUUAAGUUCCAAAGCACACUUGAAUCUCCACCAGUAGAAGCUCCAUUCUUGCACUUCUAAGAUCUUGAUUUGUUCCGACCUCUUCUCUCUUCAACACCUUUGAAAAUGUCUGGCCCCUCCGACCGUCGUUUUGACUUUGAACCUUGUUGAAGAGGCAGCCCCGCCUUCUCCAGACAACAUAUGGCGCCCAUCCUUCGUCUCCCCUACUGGUCCUCUUACCGUUGGGGAUUCCGUGAUGAAGAAUGAUAUGACCGCUGCGGUGGUGGCCAGGAACCUUCUCACUCCCAAAGAUAACAGACUACUUUCCAAACGGUCUGAUGAGUUAGCUGUUAAGGAUUCUCUGGCUCUCAGUGUUCAGUGUGCAGGUUCUGUGUCUAAUAUGGCCCAACGCCUAUUUGCUCGAACCCGCCAAGUUGAAUCAUUGGCGGCUGAAGUGAUGAGUCUCAAACAGGAGAUUAGAGGGCUCAAGCAUGAGAAUAAACAGUUGCACCGUCUCGCACAUGACUAUGCUACAAACAUGAAGAGGAAGCUUGGACCAGAUGAAGGAAUCUGAUGGUCAGGUUUUACUUGAUCAUCAGAGAUUUGUGGGUUUGUUCCAAAGGCAUUUAUUGCCUUCGUCUUCUGGGGCUGUACCGCGUAAUGAAGCUCCAAAUGAUCAACCUCUGAUGCCUCCUCCUUCUAGGGUUCUGUCCAGUACUGAGGCUCCGAAUGAUCCCCCUCCGGUGCCUUCUCUUUCUGGGGCUCUACCGACUGCUGAGACUUCUCCUAAGCAACCUUUGUGAAGGCUCCCUCUUGUUUGUUUAUUUUGACUCAUGUAUAUGUACAUAUUUGUAGCUUAUCGGGGAUAUCAAUAAAUAAGCUUUCCUUCAUUUCAACGUAUUGUGUUAAAUACACCAAAGCCUUCUUCGCUAAGUUCUUUGAAUUUUCUUUUUGUUGGAGCUUUGUGAGUGGAGCAUGUAGGUUGAGGUAGUGUUCCCUUAAUUUCCUGAGUGAGGAAAACUUCUCGGUUGGAGACUUGGAAAAUCCAAGUCACUGAGUGGGAUCGGCUACAUGAAUCUUAGAACGCCAUUGUGCUCGGUCCUGUGUCAUGUCCUUCGUUAGAUCCAAGUACUCUAAGUCUUUUCUUAGAGUCUCUUCCAAAGUUUUCCUAGGUCUUCCUCUACCCCUUCGGCCCUGAACCUCUGUCCCAUAGUCGCAUCUUCUAAUCGGAGCGUCAGUAGGCCUUCUUUGCACAUGUCCAAACCACCGUAACCGAUUUUCUCUCAUCUUUCCUUCAAUUUCGGCUACUCCUACUUUACCCCGGAUAUCCUCAUUCCUAAUCUUAUCAUUUCUCGUGUGCCCACACACAUCCAACGAAGCAUCCUCAUCUCCGCUACACCCAUUUUGUGUACGUGUUGAUGCUUCACCGCCCAACAUUCUGUGCCAUACAGCAUCGCCGGCCUUAUUGCCGUCCUAUAAAAUUUUCCCUUGAGCUUCAGUGGCAUACGGCGGUCACACAACACGCCGGAUGCACUCUUCCACUUCAUCCAUCCAGCUUGUAUUCUAUGGUUGAGAUCUCCAUCUAAUUCUCCGUUCUUUUGCAAGAUAGAUCCUAGGUAACGAAAACGAUCGCUCUUUGGUAUUUCUUGAUCACCGAUCCUCACCCCUAACUCGUUUUGGCCUCCAUUUGCACUGAACUUGCACUCCAUAUAUUCUGUCUUUGAUCGGCUUAGGCGAAGACCUUUAGAUUCCAACACUUCUUUCCAAAGGUUAAGCUUUGCAUUUACCCCUUCCUGAGUUUCAUCUAUCAACACUAUAUCGUCUGCGAAAAGCAUACACCAAGGAAUAUCAUCUUGAAUAUGUCCUGUUAACUCAUCCAUUACCAACGCAAAAAAGGUAAGGACUUAAGGAUGAGCCUUGAUGUAAUCCUACAGUUAUGGGAAAGCUUUCAGUUUGUCCUUCAUGAGUUCUUACGGCAGUCUUUGCUCCUUCAUACAUAUCCUUUAUAGCUUGGAUAUAUGCUACUCGUACUCCUUUCUUCUCUAAAAUCCUCCAAAGAAUGUCUCUUGGGACCCUAUCGUACGCUUUCUCCAAAUCUAUAAAGACCAUGUGUAAAUCCUUUUUCCCAUCUCUAUAUCUUUCCAUCAAUCUUCGUAAGAGAUAGAUUGCCUCCAUGGUUGAGCGCCCUGGCAUGAACCCGAAUUGGUUGUCCGAAACCCGUGUCUCUUGCCUCAAUCUAUGCUCAAUGACUCUCUCCCAGAGCUUCAUUGUAUGACUCCAAAUAUCACUUGUAUAAAAAUAAAAAUACAAAAUAAAAUAAAAUUAAAAAAAAAAGAAAAAAAAAAGAAAGAGACAGUUUGUUUCCAGGUUGUGGAUAUUCCAUUAAGUGAACAAUCAAUCUCACCAGACUGAAUCAAUAAUUCAUCAAGGUCAUGAAACAUAAUGGAAAAUUAAAAUUAUUAAACCAUGUGUGGAUGUCCUAUAUGCCUAUAUGCAUCAGGCAACGUAAACAAAAAUUUAUCUCAGAAAUCCAUAGAAGUUAAAAAAGGAAAUGGGAAAAAAGUUACAGAAGUAGUUUCAAGUUGAUGUGCCGCAGAUCCUUCCAGCUUUGCAGGGUAAUCCAAGUCUUCAUCCAGAGGAAAAUAAUUUGCUAUCUGGAAAAAAAACAAGAGAGAGGUUUUAAGACAUUUAAAAAGGAAAAAGUGGUAGCUAGUCAAGAAAACAAGAUUAACUGGAAAAUUAAGAAAAAAAGGUAACAACUCAACAAACAAUGAGAACUCUCAGGAAUAGAAGUCACCUCAUCACGAAUAUGUGUUCGAGCACGGAAAGUUAACCGCUCAUGAACAUCGGCAAGAAUUCUCUCUAAUGUAGGACGUAGACCAGCUAAUGAUUCAGUCCUCCGACUUAACUGUUCACCUAGGACUUCAGCUUUCAAUAUAUCAACAAGUUCACAAAGAAAAUCAACAUUUGUUUCAUGAAUAAGUUUUGGCCGCAGUGUAUCAUAUAAAUAUGUAGACCUGCAUGAAUUAUCACCAAAAGGAGGUUAUUAUAUAGUUUAAAGUGUGCAUAAACCAAUCAACCAGCCAACCUCCAUACUACAAUGUAACAGCUUAACAAGGAAUGAAGUGGAAAGGACCAAACCAAUCAAGCUUCAUUCACUUUUGGCACAUGUAGUUUAAAAGAGAUUGCCUAACCCAUUAUUACAUGUCAGCCUCUCAAGAAAGCAGAAAACGAGAGAAAAGAACUGAAAACAAAAAAUAUAAUGGGACCUACAUAGGAUCUAUCAAUGGAGCCAAACUUGAAACGUCCUCUGCAGAAGAUGGAAAAAAAUGAACAAAAAGUUGGUGCUCUAGCUGGCAGACCUGCAAUAAAUAGUGGUUUCAAUUACAAUGGAAACUUUGCUGUCCUACAACAUAAAUGUUCACAAUGUAUGCAGCUCAAAUUCAUACAUGAGAAUAAGUUGCAUAUCACAUUACAUCAAGCAUCAAAGAUACUGCCCGCUAUCAUUAAAGAGGUCAGGGCCAAUCACCCCAUCCUCACCUUAUAUUCAAUGAUAGACAAAUCUUUCGCUUGUAUUUGUUUUUAAGGAGUCUUUCCUCAAUGAACGUCCUUGCAACAUUUAUAUCUUACCUGCAUUAGAUAUGCACAUCCAGAUCUAGUCAGUGAUGGCAAGGCCUCUUUCUUCGCGAAUUCGGAUAUUCGUUGAUGUACUAUACCUCUUACCUGAAAAUGCAUUAAAAAGGUGGAUUGAUUACAAGUCAUAAAAUGAAGGAAUGAAUUAGUACGGUAAACAACUAAUGAUCCUUUUCAAAAUAAAAAAAAUUUCAUCAGCUCACCAACGAAAGUCUCUGUUCACAGUAUAGUUUGUGGCAUUCUGUAAGGAUCUGAGUAUAUUCUUUCCUUGAUGCUCUGCUUUCAAUUUCCUCCAGCACUGGCUUAAGCUGCAAGGACUCUACUUGUUAGACAUCAAAACAAACAAGUGUGAAGUUAAAAACCAAAAGAACAGCGUUGCACACCAGCAUUCAAAAAGUAGGGUAGAACUUAAAAUGUUUUCCAGACACAUCUUGCUUUCAACUUUUCACACCCUGGCUGGUUAAAUGCAUUAAUCAAAUUAAUAGCAUCAUUAAUGUUACCUCACUUGCUGCUGCCUUGAAACGGACAUAUAUAACCGAUGCUUCUACACCCUCAGAAACAGAUGUGUUAUUGCCACCACUGCUCCGGAUAGCUGCUUGUACCUGAUGCAAGACAGUGUCCAUAAUUCAAAGCCAAGUAAUAUACAUUAAUGCAUAUUAAGACAGAAGUCUACUACGACGUGUUAAUGGUAAUUCAGUUCAACAAGUUAACAUUACCUGAGAAGAAGCACCUUUGAGAACUGAAAGUACAUGAGAACGAAUCAUUCCCAAGGCUCGAGACUGUACAAAACAAGUAAAUUAUAUAUUAUUGAAGGUCAAAUUAAUCUUACUGGAAGACAAUCUCUGUUCUAUACUAUUCACCUAAUCAACGCUCUUGCAAAUUAUACCUGCAAUUGUCGAAAUUUGAGCAGGUAAACACUGGAUUCUGCAUACUGUGGAUUGCUUUCGACGUACCUAAAGUAUGCACAAAUUGUUUGAAACCAGUAAGUUCUAUCCAACAAAUAUAUCUUUAUCAAAUGCUUAAUGCUUCCUAGUAUGAAUUACAAACUUCCAAGGAUUUUAACUGAAUAGUGUCUGAAGCAUAGAAUUGCACACAGUUACUAACAAAGAAGGUAGAGAACUUACGAUAUGCACUCAUCAAGGCGUUUGAGAAGAGGGAGAAAGUUCUCGUGCAGAACAUUCAUGUUUGGAGAAUAAAAAUUGGUAGUAAUCUGCACACAGUUGAAAAAUUAAACAUGAAUUAUAUAUAACAUACUAAUAGGAUGAAUAUAUAAAUAUAUUAAGUGGUUUGUAUUACAUACACAAUUUGUGCAUCGUGAUAUUUUCUCACGCAUCCGAACAAAAAAAAGAAGGUAACAUCCUUGGCACAAAGCUUCAAAGUAUAUUAACUUCAAUGUAACACUAAGUAAUGCCUGAUAAGGAGAAUUCAUACUAAGGAGAAACUGACUCAGGCAGAUUUUUUAAAACUUAAAAAGCUUUGGAAAAAGAAUCAAUUAAAUUGUUAGUUCAAAAAUAAAAGUUUAUCCAAGCUGCUAUGCAUACCACAUAUAUUUAACAAAACCACAACGUCAGCAAACAAAAUAUCUCUAGGUAAGGUAGAUUCAAACCUUACAUUCUCCAAUUCAUCAAAGUAGUUGAGCUUACUACGGAGUGCUUCUGAAAACUCAAUCAGCCGUUGUUUCUCUAUUAACUGCAAAUGAAAAAUGAGGAGACAUCAAGUUUUAAAUAUGUUUCCAGGCCCCCACAACCAUGAAUUAAACUGACACCAAGAAAGUGGACGAAAUAAAAGGGGUAACAUUAGAAAGAAAGUCCCACCAGUCUAUCGCAAGCAUCGUGAAGAGUUCUAGUCUUUGUUGCUACUGCUUGAUGCUGGUUCUGUAGUUCAUUAAACAACUCUAGGGUGUCAGCCACCUGCACAGAAAGGAACCAACUAUUUCAAACAAGCACAACAACUUAAAACAAAGAUGGCUUCAACGAUACCGAUAGACAUAUCGCCAUUACCUGACCGAGUAUGCCAUCACAUGUCUGAAUGCGUUCUGUCAAAGUGUCUACAUAGUGUCGAUACUUCUCCUCUGUCUAAAAUGUGAAAAAUUUAUGUGCAAUGAGCUUAUAUUUACACUUAAUUACAACAUAAGUUUGCUGCAAGAAUCGAUUACCAACCUCCGACUUCAAUGCUGCUUCAAGAUCUGUAAACCAUUUGUAAAACUACAAGUAGCAAAAGCUAAUUCAGUGAGAAAGCCAUCGAAUUGUAAUAGAUAACGGAAUGUGAUGGCGAAAAUGUACCUGAUUCGUAUUGACAAGAACAGCUUCAAUGGCAGCGGAGUGUUCCAAGCCGAAAGUGCUGUCCUUGGUGGAGACAGUUAGGCCAUUCUGGUGGCCUGUGGUGCCGUCCUGAGCCAAAUUGGGUGGGAACGGCCGCUCUGCAACGCAAUGCGAGAGCGUUGUAAUGGCCGCUUGCUGCUGCUCUGAUAACGGAGUUUUCUGCAGAGGAAAGAAAGCAAUACAUCAAAAUUCAUAUCGAGAGGAUCCGAUCCGAUCCGAAAGCAAGCUAAUUGCAAUAAAGUGGAGAAAAUUGCAGAAAACUCAGAUGUAGACGAAAAAGGAGUUGUUUCAAUGGAAAAACUGAAUCUAGGGCAACGAGGAGGAGAAAGAAAAAGAAGAAGAAGCACCUGUUCCCAGUGAGAUGCGAAGUUGUAGCCCUUGGAAAUGGCUCCAGAUUUCGGAACGCCGGGUUUGGUUGCCGCCAUUUCUCAAUCCUCUUCAACUCACAACAAAGUCGGUUCAUACAACGGUUGCAGUCGCCGUCGUCGUCAUCCACAAUUCGCCUCCUCUCCUCCGCCCUCUUUUCUCUCAGUCGAGUUUUUUCUCAGUCCUUCGCUCUCUCUUUCAACGAUAAAGAUUUAAACGCAAAGCAUUUAUGUUGGGUAGAACAAGACGACGUCGUCUUCGAGUUGGAAACAGUUGGUGCGAGCUCGCUUGUUUUUUUUGUCCGUCCCUUCACUUUUAUCCGCGUCAUUAUUUAAAGAUUAAAUUAUUUUACAUGUCAGCAUAUCGUAAUUUUAAAAUUGGAAAACAUAUUAUUAAUUUUUAAUAUUUUUUAAAAAAUAUUUUUCAUAUAUUUUAUUUUUAAUUUGUAUCCAUUUUUUAAGUCUGACUAAUAUUCUUUUUAGUUUUAACUAGAUAAAAUGCUCGCGCGUUGCUGCGGGACUUGAAUGCACGAAUCUUAACCACAUGAAUUAAACACAUGUAACUUGAAAAAAAAUUCAACAUAAUCAUGAACGAAAAAAAAAAGAUAGAUGAGUGAACGGUAUCAGUAAGAUAAGUAGUUCCGCUUUUACAUACAUUCAACCAAGCUGAUUACAAAAGAUAUGAUUGGAAAAAAUGCUCUGUUUCCUAACAAACAGGAGCAACAUGCAUUUAACACAUAUAGGGCACGUUUGUUUGACAGGAUUCGCUGGGACUGGACUGGACUAGACUAUAGUCCAGUGUUUGGUGGGUACCGGGAUUAGCUUUAAUGAGCUUAGGUGGGAUUCGCUAGGACUAAGGGGGGGCUUAGCCGUUCUUCACGAGGGAUCCCAAAUUCGGGCGGACUCGUAAGCCAGAGAAACCGCGUCUUCCCACAUCUCACAUCCCACAUCGUCCUCAUCUCUGCGUCUGCCCUCGUCGUCGUCCUUGCCGUGCUCCCACAUCGUCCUCACGCUCAUCGUCGUCCUUGCAUCUGGUCGCUGUCAUCUGCCUCUAGUCGGUAAGCUUCGAAUCUUGGAUUUUUUUUCGUCGAUUUGUGUGGAUUUGUUUGUGAUAUUAACUGAGGUUUAUUUGAUUUUGUUGUUUUGGGUUUGAGAAAUUCAUAAUAUACAAGUGGAUUUGCAAUUGAACAAAUUAGGGUUUUGUUAUUUAGGUGAAAUUGAGAUUAGAAUUUGGGGUUUUCAUAAGAUGAAAUUGAGAUUAGUCUCAGGUGUAUGCUCUCUGUGUGUGUGUUUUGUGUGUUACUGAAAAAAAAUUUGUCUGUGUGUUUUGUGUGUGUGUGUGAGUGUGUUUGUGUGUGUGUGUGUGUAUGUAAUCUGUGUAACCUGUGUAAUAUCUGUGUGUGUGUGAGUUGUGUGUGUAAAAUGUGUGUGUAAUCUAUCCGUGUGUGUGUGUGUAACCUGUGUUAUUUGCAGUGUGUGUGUGUGAGUUGUGUGUGUAAAAUGUGUGUGUAAUAUGUCCGUGUGUGUGUGUGUAAUCUGUUUUUGUGUGUAUGUGUGUGAGUUGUGUGUGUAAAAUGUGUGUGUGAGUUGUGUGUGUAAAAUGUGUGUGUGAGUGUGAGUGUGAGUGUAAGUGUUUGUGUGUGUGUGUGUGUUUGUGUGUGAGUGUGAGUGUAAGUGUGAGUGUGAGUGUGUGUGAGUGUGAGUGUGUGUGCAGUGUGUGUGUGUAUGCAGUGUGUGUGUGUGUGCAGUGUGUGUGUGAGUGUGUAUGCAGUUUGUGUGUGUGUGUGUGCAGUGUGUGUGUGAGUGUGUAUGCAGUGUGUGAGUGUGAGUGUGUGUGAGUGUGAGUGUGUGUGCAGUGUGUGUGUGUAUGUAGUGUGUGUGUGUGUGCAGUUUGUGUGUGUGUGCAGUUUGUGUGUGUAUGCAGUGUGUGUGUGUGCAGUUUGUGUGUGUGUGCAAUUUGUGUGUGUAUGCAGUGUGUGUGUGCAGUUUGUGUGUGUGUGUAUGUGUGUGUCCAGUGUGUGUGUGUGUGUGACUGUGUUCAGUGUGUAUGCAGUGUGUGUGUGCAGUUUGUGUGUGUGUGUGUAUGUAUGUAGUAUGUAUGCAGUGUGUGUGUGUAUGUAUGCAGUAUGUAUGCAGUGUGUGUGUAAGUGUGAGUGUGAGUGUGAGUGUGAGUGUGAGUGUGAGUGUAAGUGUGCAGUGUGUGUGUGUGUUUGUGUGUGAGUGUGAGUGUAAGUGUGAGUGUGAGUGUGUGUGAGUGUGAGUGUGUGUGCAGUGUGUGUGUGUGUGUAUGCAGUGUGUGUGUGUGUGUGUGUGCAGUGUGUGUGUGUGAGUGUGUAUGCAGUUUGUGUGUGUGUGUGCAGUGUGUGUGUGAGUGUGUAUGUAGUGUGUGCAGUGUGUGUGUGUGUCUAUGCAGUGUGUGCAGUGUGUGUGUGUGCGCAGUGUGUGUGUGUGUGUGUAUGUAUGCAGUAUGUAUGCAGUGUGUGUGUGUGUGUGUGUGUGUGUGUGUGUGUGUGUGUGUGCAGUGUGUGUGUGUGUGUGCAGUGUGUGUGUAUGCAAGUAUGUAUGCAGUGUGUGUGUGUGAGUAUAAAAACAGAGUGUGUGUGUGAGGGUAAGAGUUUGUUGCACUCUGUCCCCGUGUGUGUGUGUGUGUCACUGUGUUCAGUGUGUGAGUGUGAGUGUGUGUGAGUGUGAGUGUGUGUGCAGUGUGUGUGUGUGUGUAUGUAGUGUGUGUGUGUGUGCAGUUUGUGUGUGUGUGCAGUUUGUGUGUGUAUGCAGUGUGUGUGUGUGCAGUUUGUGUGUGUGUGCAAUUUGUGUGUGUAUGCAGUGUGUGUGUGCAGUUUGUGUGUGUGUGUAUAUAUGCAGUGUGUGUAUGUGUGUGUCCAGUGUGUGUGUGUGUGUGACUGUGUUUAGUGUGUGAGUGUGAGUGUGUGUGUGUGUAUGCAGUGUGUGUGUGUGUGUGCAGUGUGUGUGUGAGUGUGUAUGCAGUUUGUGUGUGUGUGUGCAGUUUGUGUGUGAGUGUGUAUGCAAUGUGUGUGUGUCUAUGCAGUGUGUGCAGUGUGUGUGUGUCUAUGCAGUGUGUGCAGUGUGUGUGUGUGUGCGCAGUGUGUGUGUGUGUGUAUAUAUGCAGUGUGUGAGUGUGAGUGUGUGUGUGUGCAGUGUGUGUGUAAGUGUGAGUGUGUGUGUAUGUAUGCAGUGUGUGUGUGUGUAUGUAUGUAGUAUGUAUGCAGUGUAUGUGUAUGUAUGCAGUAUGUAUGCAGUGUGUGUAAGUGUGAGUGUGUGUGUAUGUAUGCAGUGGUGUGUGUGUAUAUGUAUGCAGUGUGUGUGUGUAUGCAGUAUGUAUGCAGUGUGUGUGUGUGUGCAGUGUGUGAGUGUGAGUGUGUGUGUGUGCAGUGUGUAUGCAGGGUGUGUGUGUAGUGUAUGCAGUGUGUGUGUAAGUGUAGUGUAUGUAGUGUGUGUGUGUGUUUGUGUACUGUGUAUGCAGUGUGUAUGUAUGCAGGGUGUAUGCAGGGUGUAUGCAGUGUGUGUAUGUAUGUAUGCACUGUGUGUGUACUUGCAGGGUGUGUGUGUGUAGUGUAUGCAGUGUAUGUGUGUAGUGUAUGUAGUGUGUGUAGUGUAUGCAGUGUAUGUAGUGUGUGUAUGUAUGUACUGUGUUUGCAGUGUGUAUGUAUGUACUGUGUAUACAAUGUGAAUGUUUUGUAUUGUGUGGGGUUGAUGCUGAAUUGCAAUUUGUUGUGGUUGUUGGUUGCAGAGAAGAGGAGCAUAAACGGAAGGCUAAGGCUAAGGCUACUGCAUUACAGGUGUCCUUUAAUUUCCCUUUUCACAUGCAAUGCCUAGCAAUGAUAGCAAUCCUCAUACUAGUGUUCUUAGACACAUGUUUAUAGAUGUAUAAGAGUAGAACAUUUUGAAUAUGAUGCCUCGGGUUAAUGAAAACUUUUUUUUUUUCAACGCCAUAUGUAUAUUUGUUGCCUCGGGUUAAUGAUUUAGUUAAUUUGUUUUUUUUGUUUUUUUUUUUGUUUGGAUAGAUAUGGAUCGAAGGAAGCUUUUAUUGAUCUUAUUGUUAGAGAUGUCUUAUUUGGAAACAAUUUGUAUUUGUACGAUUCUUGUGGUGAUGAUGCUACGUGGCAAACAGAGACAUGUUGAACGACCCACAUUGACUAACCGUUCACUUAUUAGACGAGAGAUUAGUUUGUGUUAUCUGAAUGGUAUAAUAGGGAAUACUGAUACUGAAUGUGUUAACGAAUUGAGAAUGGAUAGAAGGACUUUUGGCAUAUUAUGCGACUUACUUCGUCAAGAUGGGAGGGUAAAAACUGAUGGUUUGGUGUCUGUAGAGGAACAGGUGUGUAUGACUUUACAAAUAUUAGCACAUCAUACUAAGAAUCGUAGUGUUGGCGGUAGAUUUUAUAGGUCGGGAGAGACUAUAAGUAGGUAUUUCAAUAGCGUAUUGCAAGGAAUUUUGCGAUUACAAGGUUUCCUACUAAAAGUCCCACAGCCUGUGCCUAUUGAUUCUACAGAUGCUAGGUGGCGAUGUUUUAAGGUAUGAUGAGAAAUAUUUUUCAUUUUCCUUAAGCUUUAACUCUUCAUUCCCUUUGUAUAAAUUAACAAAAAGUUUUUUAUUUUUUAUUUUUAAGAAUUGCUUGGGAGCAUUGGAUGGAACACACAUUGAUGUGCAUGUACCUGAAAUUGACAAACCAAGAUACCGAACAAGAAAGGGUCGAGUCGCAACUAAUGUGUUAGGUGUGUGUUCAGGAGAUAUGCAGUUCAUAUAUGUGUUUCCGGGGUGGGAGGGUUCCGCAUCAGACUCUAGAGUGCUACAUGAUGCAAUUAGUAGGCCUAAUGGUUUUAAGGUACCAGCGGGUAAGAUUAUUACUUAGUCUCAACUUUCUAAGUUAGGUUUAGUUCUGUUUGUCAACUACAAAACACUAAUAAGGUCUGUUUUUUUUUUUUCAUUAGGUUGUUAUUACCUUGUAGAUGGUGGUUAUACAAAUGGUGAAGGAUUCCUUGCACCCUAUAGAGGAAUACCUUAUCAUUUAUCUGAAUGGGAGGGACGAACACCUUCUAAUAAGGAAGAAUAUUUUAACAUGAAGCAUUCUAAGGCAAGGAAUGUAAUUGAACGCUGUUUUGGCUUGCUAAAAAGGAAGGUGGUCGAUACUAAGGAGUCCAUCUUUCUAUCCGAUAAGGACACAAGGUCGAAUAAUUACCGCUUGUUGCCUACUACACAAUCUUAUUAGGCAAGAGAUGUUAGUAGAUCCAAUGGAGAAUUUGCCAAUAAUAGAAGAUGGACAAAAUACAGAAGAAGGUGAAUAUGUUGGUAGUGUUCAAUCAUCGGACCAGUGGACUGCAAUGAGGAAUGAUAUGGCUGAGGAAAUGUAUAAUGAGUGGAGAGCAAUUAGGAACCAGCAACCGAACUAGCUAUAUGUUUUAAUGAUAACAUUUUAUUUUAGUAUUCCUUUUUAUCAUGCAUUUGUUAGAUAUUAGCACAAUGAUUGGAUGGUAUGCAAAUUAAUUGGAUAUUAUGCAAGUUGAUUGGAUAUUAUGCAAGUUGAUUGGAUAUUAUGCAAAUUGAUUAUUUGUAUGGUAUUUUCCUUCAUUAAAAUAUUUUUUGUUUAGGUAUGGAUAACGAAAAUAUUUUGAAUGCUACUCAAGAGCCAAAAGGAAGAAGGCGUAAAUGGGAAGCAUUUGAGGAAGAAGUAUUACUAGGAGUUCUUGAGGAUUUUGUUGCUCGGAAGCAACGGUGUGACACCGGUGCUUUCAAACAAGGUACUUUGGUUGAAAUAGCAAAAGCUGUCAAUGUUUUAUGUCCUCAUUCAAAUAUAAAGGCAAAUCCACAUAUUGAGUCCAAGUUGAAGAAAUGGAAAAAAACAUAUAUAGUAUGGUCGUUGACAUGAUAAACACAAGUGGAUUUGCAUGGAAUGAUGUCAAAAAGUGCGUUGAAGUUGACAGUGAUGACGCAUGGCAAACUUAUGUGCAGGUUCAUAUCCUAUUUUAUUUAUGCAUUAGUUAUAUUCUUGCUCCUAUAUUUGUUACGCAUGCUAAAUUUUAGUUUUGCUAUGUUGAUAUAAUCUUAGAGAAAUAAAGAAGCCGAUGGAUGGAGAAGCAAACCUUUUCCACUGUUUGAUAGAUUUUGCAUAUAUAUUUGGAAAAGAUCGGGCUACGGGUAAUGUAGCCGAAACCCCUGCUCAAAUGGUGGAGGAACAAAGUCAUGAUCAUGUUGGUGAAAGUGAUAUUGGAGGUGAUAAUUUUGUUUCUUCAAUGAACCAACAAAGCCAACAAAGCACCCCAUCUGAAAAUAGCCAAAGAAAGAGAGGAAAAGAGCUGUGGGAAGUUCAAGUGAUGGAACCGAGGCAAUUAUCAGUGGACUGAAAGAUUUUUAUGUUGAAAGUGGGAAGAGGAUGCAAAUGGUAACUGAAGCUUUAGUUCAAGGUACUGCAGAUCAUACUGACAUAGCUAAUGAACUUGAAGCAAUGGGUCUCUCUCCUAUGGAUCAAAUUGAUGCAUUGUCUCUUAUUUUGGAUAAACCAAAAAAUGUGGGAGUGUUCAGGGCAAUCAAACCGGAACUCAAGAAAGUGUUCGUCCAAAGACUUUUAAGAGACAACGCAAGCGGAUGAGGAUUUUGGCUAAUGUUAACAUGGAUGUAUUUUAUUAACGUUAACAUGGAUGUAUUUUAUUAAUCAUACAGUCUUAUGUUAUGACUUAUAACUUAGCUUUGCACUAGUAUUUUGGCUUAUGUUUACUAGCCAUUUUGUAAAUUAUGGAGAGAUCUAUUUUGGCUAAUGUUAACUAAUGUUAACUAGGAUUUUCUAAAUUAUGGAGAUCUUAUGUACUUGUAUUUGUUGAAGUUGCAUGUAUUGGCCACUAUUAUUUUUCUUCUGUUGGGUGAUAGAGUUUAAAUCAAGCUACAUUUGCAAAUUAAACCCAAUUCUAUUAGCAGGUAAUAGAAACAAAACAAUUGUCAAUUUUUUUUAAGAUUCAUAAUAUACAUGGCAAAAAUAUGCUCCAAUUAACCCAUAUCAUGAGAUUUGUAGCAUUACUCUAUUACACAAUGACAAAAAUUUGUAGUCCUAGUCUAAGCAAACACAAAUCUGGUGAACAGUAUUGUUUUUCUUAUCCUGCUUCUUAGUCCGAGACUGCACCAAACGCUUCACUAAGUUAGUCCAGCUUAGUCCAGUCUAAGCCAGUCCAGCUUAGUCCCGGCAGCUAGUCCAGUCCGAGACAGUCCGGCGCAACAAACGCACCCAUAUUGGCCUUGAAGUUAAGAUGGAAAAAUAUAUGUUCUGCAGGCUAGCCUAGAUCCCAUCGAAAAACGCCCCAAAAAAUGCUAAACUUCUUCAUCCAACGGAACUUAUUCUUUCGGCAAAUUACUACGAUUUUCAGAUGAAUGGAUAGUGUGAACCACCAAUUUGUUUCGGUUUACACCUUUACCAUAAACAUGCAAACACAUCCUUGUUUUUUCUAUUUUCACUGUUUUCUUUGUAUUGGGUCCUGGAGCAGUUUCUCUAUAUAUCUUUUUGGUUCCUCGAUUAUUUUCAUUGUUUCGAGCCUCAAUCAGUUUCUUUAAAUUUUUAACCAAAACUCCUCCUAGAAUUUGUUGUUCGCUUCAAUCAAUAUCUUUCACCAUUUUAUCUACCCGGAAUCACAAAUAAAUAUAGUGUCAAUAUUUAUGUUUUUUAGAAAAAUAUGUUUAGCUUGUAGGUCUUAGAAUAACACAGUUAAAAUUUUUAAAAAUUGAAAUAUGGAAAUUGUGAUUUUUUUUGGAAAUAUGUCUGGUUUGUUGAGAGAUUGCAGUUGUUAACGGCACUUAUUAAAGCACUUCAGGGAGGAUGAGACAAUUGACUACCAGAAAAACCUAACAAAAACACCAACCAACCAAAGUAACUGACCUUCAAAGAACGAUUUGGAAAAUUUAGAACGCAAUAAAGAAAGGAAGCAACCAACAAAAAACGUAUAAAACGCCUAAUAACAUUUGAUAAACAAUUAAGAACACUGGGUUAAAUAAGAAUCACAAAGACACCAAGAGACUUUCAAACAAUAACAGAAUUGCAUAGACAAAAUUUAAACCAAAAAAAAGGAAAGAACUAUCGGACCUCUAGACAAUCAGAGAUCACGAAGUUAACCAAGAAUGAGAAACAAAGCAUAGAGCAAACAUAUAAUAUAAGCCAAAAAAAACCAAACAGUCAUUUUAAAAAUUAUAAACUCGCAUUGUUUGAAAUGGAAAGAGUGGGGAAACAACGUAUUGAAGUUCAGGACAUACCAAAGGCUUGAUUGAAACGUAAUGGCUUUGAACCCCUUCAUUAAAGGCAACAACAAGAGCAGAUUAUGAUUCUAUGAUGUGAGCCCGAUCUAAACUGCAAAAAAGAAGUGAGAUUGCAAUUAAGAAUUCGAAAUGCAAACAAACAGAUACAAUAAAAGUAACUUAAAUUGUGACGGUAUAACGGACUCAAUAUGUAAAAGUGCACCAAAUAAAGGGUAAUUCUCAAGACAUUAAACAUAAAAACUAAAACACCCCCAUCUCUUUGCAAAUUUUACAAACAAAAUAGUAAACGUAAUCCUUGAAAUCCAAACAGACCUAAUUUUGAAACCGUUUCUCUUGGACACCCCAUACCAUAGAAAAUGCACCCUAUACCCCAAACAUAAUGCUCAGUGGCUAGAUAGCAAUCUGUGCAGGUUGAUCAAGAUGUCACUAAUUAGUUUUUGCCAACAGAUGGUUAACCAUUUUGCCAUUUUUUUUUUUUUGCAGAAAGUGGACCAUGUUUAACUUUAAAAGAUGAUCUCUAUUUUACCUAGACAAAUUGCAUCACCAAUGUCUUGCCACACAUUCACAAAAAUUAGCAGUGCCGAUUGACAAAUGGACAGACCUGAAUGGUACUAACCGAAGCACAACAAUCCCUAAAGGAAAACAAACAACGAAAUGACUUCAAGAAAAAUCUGUAUCAUUUAUUCAAUGAAGCACCCUAAGUUGGAAAAGAGUAAAAUUUAAAUUGAAAAACAAUAAUCUAACAGAGACAAAUUUAAAAACAAAAAACCAUUAGAAUCUUUACAGAAAUCAAUAAAAAUGGCUGCAAGUUAAAAGUCUUAAAAUUUGAUAUAUGGCUAUAAAUUUUCCUAAUGUUUAUAAUAUCAAUUAAGAAUACACCAAAACUUAAUACACCGUUGUAACAUUUUGCAACUGCCUCACCUAUCUGAAAUGAAAUGAUAGGCUAUAAUGAAAUAAAAGCCCACCAAGUGCAAAUAGAAAUAAACCAUAUAGCUGGGUCUUGUACAUGGUUAGAUCCUUGGUCUCCAGGAAUUAUGCUAAAAGGAAGACUAAUCAAAUGAUUACGCUUAGAACUAUAACGUUAUUUCAAUUUUUAAAAACUAUUAACUGAUUGAAAAACCACACCAUAAAGAACCAGUGGAGAUCAGAAUAACAAUAAAAUACUACAGAGGUAAAUGAACAGCCAUUAAUAUAAUUUUUUUCCUCAGCAUGCCAACAACAAUCAGAAAAAGAAAAGGAGAAAAAUCUAUGGGAUAAAUGUAAAGUCUAUUUGAAAAGUUCAAUAUAUUUGUUUGUCAAACUCAGUGAUCAAACUUCACACUCAUGCUUUUCAAAAAGAAAAGAAAACGAAGAAGUGAAAUCAUUGACAAUUCCAAGAAAUAUAGCAGCUAUUAUUAAGAUCCAAAACGAAUUCUGGAAAGUAUGGGGACCAAAGACUAUUAGAAGUUGGAAAGAUAUGCCGAUGCAGUGGUUUGAGAACAUAGUUUGAGAAACUUUGGGUAGGAAAUAUGCUCGCAAGGAAAACCGACAAUGGGUGAGUAUGACUCUCAAAGCUGGUUUAUGUUUAAAUUACUGAAUCACCAUAAUCGUUGUUGGUUGGUUUUCACUCAUGGUCUACUUUUUAUUCAAGUUCUUGUAAAGAAAAUUAGUCUUUUAACCAAAUGCAUGCCAAUUACAAUUUUUCCUUUUUGGUAAAUAAUACCAACCACAUUUUAUCAUUACUAGAUUCAUAGUGCUUUGAUUAACUUUAUGGGGAGUAGAAUCUCAAUUCAAGCUAAGUAAAGCAAAACCCUCAAUUAAACCCCAACUACAAACCCGAAUUAAACCUUCAAUUAAACUCUUAAUAAAACCCAAAUUAAAUCAGCAAUCAGGAAAGAGAAAAAUACACCCAUUCAAAGUAUUGCAUAACUGAAAAAAACUAUAUUUAUGAGAAAGAUUAAAACCUUUUUACAAAAGACACCUACUGAAAAAGCUCACAUUUGUAAAGACUUGGAGCUCCUGACCUAACAGCACAACAAAAUCCGGAAAUAAUUCACAGCAAAAGGGAAGAAAUGAUGACAAUCUAUGCUAACAGUAGAGAAUCGAAUUAAAAAUUGAACUUAGCUAAAAAACACUUACCCUUCAACGUUCGGAGCCUUAGAAAAAUUUAUGAAGUUCACGCAAAUAUUUUUACGUCUCUAUGCACCUAUCCUGCAAACCAACGAAAAUAGAAAUGCAGAGAAGUGGGAAGACCAGAUGAAAUAAAACCCAAGCCACCACCAACUUAAAUAGAAGAAAUGUGGGGGAAUCCAGCCGUCAAAGAAAAAAAAUACAAUCUCCAGAACAAAUAGAUAAAAACAUAAUAAACGAGCAAAAGCAGCUAAUCAGCACAAAACUAGUAAACUGAUUGGGAGGCCUAAUCGGAAGAUUAAGAGAAAAGAUGAGCAAUUCACUCAAGACGCACAAUAGGGAACCCAACAGAUGCAAAAUACACAAAGAGCAAUCUCGGGCACCCCAAAAUAAAAGCAAAGCACUCCAAGAACCACAUCUAAGCCAAGUAAUGAUUAACAAACACCAAAUAAAACAACCCAUAAUCCAACAACCCACGAAAUCAACGAGUCUAAUAUAAGCAAGCCAGAUGCUAAUUGUCACAAACCCCAUUACCAUAAACAGACGCCACCCGAAGUUCAAAGAUCUAAACAACGUUGAUUGAAUAAAACCUGAGAACCCAAGAACACCCGUCUCUCUAAGCCAACCCCAACAACAUACUAACACUCGAGGAGUUGCAGAAUUAUCAAAACCCUAGAAAUUAACGUACCUCAAUUAAACCCCCUAAAUCUCGAGACACCCACUUCAAUUAUCACACUCAAGCACCAAACCCAAUUAUCAGCCCUACACUUUGUUCGGGCGAAGAUUUCUCCGGAAAGAGCUCCUCGGCUCUUAGCACAACUCCCCAAGGGAUUGGCACUUUGGAUAUAUAGUCGGGCUCUUGCUUGCUGAUGUGCUGCAAGAAGAGGAUAAAGUUAGUUUUGAAAGGUGCCUUUGUAGGGCCUUAGGUGUAUACAUUGAGGCUCGCAAUCAAAACUAAUUGAGUGCUAGGCGUGCCACUGCUAUCUCAGUAUAACAGAUGUAUAAUAAGUGUAUUUAGUCGAUUACUUUCGCCCCAAGUUACUCGGACUUCUUGUUAUCAAAGGAUUGUCGUGGAUGGGUUAAGUCCACAUUAAGUUCUUUUUCUUGCCUUGUGACCAAGGACUUUCAGUUCAUAGUCUUGUAUGUUCAAGUGAGGGGAGUCAAUAUCCCCUUAAGUCACCUACUCGAUUCUUGAUUGGUUUUAAAUGAAGGCAUAUUCAUUAAGGUGACCAAAUCCGGGCACAAAUGAGACUCUUAAAGUAGGAAAACAGAUGGAUAUAACUUGAAUACAUAUUAGAGAAUACAUUAAGCAGUAGAUCUAUUAACUUAUAAGACAAACAAAGAGCUUUGAGCAAGAUUUCACCUUGUCGGGCAAGGUUGAACUUCUUGCAAUCACUUCUCUUUUGAGUUUACAAGGUUUAUAUGCUAAGAAUGGAUGGAUGGUAAACAAGUUUACACGAGAUAAUCGAUGCUACGCCACUAAGGGUGAUAGCAGAGCUUCUAAACUAGACAAAAGAUGGCUUUUGUGGGGGAUGAUCCUGAAAAGGAUUGAGAUCUGGGCUGAUUACAGCUUAUAGAUGCAAAUCUAGCUUGAGAGCAGAGUUUGUAUGUUUGUUUGUUUGAUUGGUUGAGUAUCCUUGUCUCUGAGGCCUCUUCCUCCUUUUAUAGGUAGAUUAGCCCGACUGCAGUAGCUUUACUCUUGCUCGAAAGUUGUUGAAGGGUAGCGAGUCAUCAGCUUUUUACUUGUAUUGCCAUCGAAAAGUGUUUUUUGGCUGAUUGUGAGUUAGUCCCCAUCAUUUGACACUUAAAUCAUAGGCACAUCGCCUAUACAUUAAUCAGAAUGCGCCAACUUGUCUAUGGGCCUGAUACUGAGCUUCAGGCAGGUAUUCCUUUAAUUGGUGUUUUUGGGCUUCCUUAUACUUACAGCCUAAAGUUCAAAUAUUAACCCAAAUAGUGCCCCCUUUAAUCAUUGUUAAGGUUGCAAUCCCAGGAGCUAAUAAUGAUUAAAUAGUCGUCGCUCAUUAAACAACCGUCGCACGCAUCCACUCGGAACUUGUGCCUUUUUAAAGCAACCGUUGGUUUAUCUGAAGCCCUUUGCACUACCCCACGAACUCCUCCGCUAAGUAAUCACUUAUUAUAUAAUUCCUCCUUAAUCUCAUCAGCAAAGUAUUUUAACCACUUCGAGCCUUCGAAUUCUCAGAAACUCCAGUGCGCUCUUAUCUUCGCAGCUCUUCAGUCAUUCCCCCCUUAAUUUCAAAUUUUCUUCUAUCUUCCUCUCAAAGUCCUAAGUGGCACCCAUAGUUGCCCGAAUUCAGUCUCUUCGCGAGAUUGGUGAAGGGAUUUCCACCAUGCACCGUUCUUUUGAUGACCUUCAUUACCCUCGAGCGAGCCUGCAUACUGAAAUCUUCUUUGAGGAGGAAAUAGUGCACUCUUUGGGGCCUGCAUAGACUUCUCAUUUAUUGGCUUUUGCAACAUCCUCAGAAAGGUGCACUACGUCCAGCUUUUGUUUCAAGACUCAUAUGGCUUUUGUGAAUAGCCAGGUAGCCUUAAUCACACCGGUAGAUUCCUCUUAUGAAUAUAAAGCAAUAUUUCCUUGCACUGGUAUCCACAAGCCCAAACUUCCCCAUAGCUUUUGGUUUCUUGAUCACUUUAUCAUCAUAGGUGUAUGCUUCGGGGUCAAUUACCAUGACAAUGUCAAGGACUUUGGUGAGACUUGUGGACGAAGGCUCUGUUAUGGAAGCCAGGAUUACAUAAGUGUCUUCUUCAAUUAAGAGUUUGGAGGAGCAACCAUCUGUACGAAACAACUUUACAAGAAGAAUUGAGGAAGCAAAGAAAGUAAAUGUUGAAGUUGAAGAUGCCGAAGUUCAGUUAGUCAUUCUAGGAUAGCUACCUUAGCCAAUGAUGUAAAACUAUUGUUGAUCCUUAUGUAACUUCAACAUGAAAUAAAAAAAGACUUUCUUAAUCCAUCUUAGCUUGCAUUUCUUCUUUUAAAACUUAACUACGAUGGGCAAAUAAGCUGACUUUAAACCACUUGUAAUGUUUAUACUUCUUCAAUAUAGCAACUCCUAACAUCCCACAAGGUUGGGUGAUAUUUCUUCAAAAACUUGGCAUUAACUGGAUGCUUAUGCGAACUUCCUUCCAAAUCUGCCAAGUAAUAUCCCCUUUUGUCUAGUAUUUGGUUAAUAAUGAAAGGACCCUCCCAAGUCGGACUCCACUUCCCAAAGCCUCUAACUUGAGCUUCUAAAGGCCGAAUUGCCUUCCAUACUAACUCUUAUUUCUUGAAGUUUUUCAAUUUCACCUUUUUAUUGUAUGCUUGGGCAACAGCUCUCUUCCCUUCUUGAAUUUUACCUAGGGCUUCAAUUCGGGCUACAUCUAGAUCUUCUAUUCCUUGACACAUAGCCUGAAUAUAUUCUUCAUUAUGCAACCUAAAUUGAUUUUGAAUCCUAACAGAACCCACAUUUAUCUCCAUGGGGAGCACAUCAUCCUGCCUGAAGGUCAAAGCAUAAGGAGUAGUUCCAGUGCCCUCUUGGAGGUUCUGUAAGCCCAUAAAGUAUCUCCCAACUUCUCAUGCCAUUUUUCUAGACUAUCUGCCACCAUCAUUUUGAUAAUGUUCACCAAGACUUUGUUACUGGCUUCUGUUUGACCAUUUGACUGGGGUAGUAAGGACUAGAUUGGAUCAUCUUAAUCUUGAACUUACUUGCAAAUUCUUCUACUUCCUUUGAAAUAAAAGACGGUCCGCAUUCUAUAACAAUUGUCUUGGGUACCCCAUAUCUGUGUAAGAUCUUGGUUUCAAUGAAGUUCUUGACGGCGGUUGCAGUUAAGGUCUUCACUGUUGAAGCUUCUACCCAUUUGGUGAAGUAGUCUAUUGCCACAAUUAUGAACGUGUGCUCUUUGCUAGAAGUUGGAUGAAUUUGCCCGAUGAACUCCAUUGCCCAUCUUCUGAAGGGCCAAGGCUUGACCAUGGGGUUUAAGGGUAUUGAAGGCACAUGUUAGAGAGGUCCAUGUCUUUGGCAUUCUUCGCACCCUCAGGCAUAAACUUUGCAAUCUUUCUCCAUCUCUGGCCAGAAAUAGCCAUAUUCCUAAGUAGCCACCUCAUAUUGGUUCCCGCCUGAUGUGCUUCAUAGAUCCCUUCAUGUACUUUGGCCAUUACCCUCAUUGAUUCUUCCUAGCCUAAGCAUUUCAACAUUAGUCCAUCUGGAGUCUUUCUUAGUAUAUUUCCCCCCACAAAAUGUACUUAGUUGCUUGUUGUCUAUUCUUCUUACUUGUGCAGAAUGAUGGAUCUUUUAAAUACUGAAUAAUAGGUGUUCUCCAAUCUCUAACCUCCACCUCUUCAAUCAUUACAUCUAGGUUGAAUCCCCUUUCAAAGAUAAAAGGGAGAUUUCUUUUCUGAACCUCUAUGUCCCCUUUAUACUUUCUUUCUUGGAUCAACGCUCCAGAAGCCAAUUGUGCCAUCUCAUUAGCAACUGCAUUCGAUCUUCUCGGGAUAUGGUUGACUGAUAUCUCAGUGCCCCAAUAGCUUAAUAGUUAUGUAGAUGCCAAAUAGUAACUUGCCAUGAUAAUGUGUCUGCACUUGUACUCUUCAUUUAGUUGAUUGAUCACCAACUCUGAAUCACCAAAUACUUCAACUUCAGUUGCCCCUAACUCUAUCAAGAUCUCCAGACCAAUUAUCAAUGCCUCGUAUUCUGCCCAGUUGUUAGUAGUCUCUUGAUAGUCUAGGAGGAAUGAAUAAAAAUGGUAAGCACCCUUAGGAUCAAUGAUAACAAUCCCGGCUCCUGCGACAGUUUGGGUGCAAGAACCAUCAAAAUACAGUUUCCAAUGAGUGAUCUAGAGACUAGCUAUUCUUUUUAUCUCUUGCCGGAUCCAUUUUUCUUUGCCCUAGAAGGUUUUGCUUGAUAGGAUCCACACACUGGCUACCUCAAGAGUUCCCAAGAUAUUGAUAAUCUCAUCUUGGGAUUCUUGGUGCUCAACCAAGAAGUUUGCAAUUGCUUGCCCCUUGAUCGCUCUAUGAGGCACAUACUGAAAGCUAAACUCUGAAAACACUAGAAUCCAUUUUCCAAUCCUCCCAGCUAUCAUUGGUUUUGACAGCAUAUAUUUGAUUACGUCAGUCCUAGCAAUAAUGUGGAUGUGGCAAGGUAACAUGUAAUGCCUUAGCUUGCAUGCCGUGAAGUAUAGAGCCAGGCACAACUUCUCCACUGGUGUAUAUCUUGUCUCUACUUCAGUAAGGAUUCCACUGAGGUAGUAGAUUGCUUGUUCUUUUUUGCCUUCAUUUUUCUAAGCCAACAAGCUUCCCAUUGAUUUCUCAGAAGCAGAAAUAUAAAGCUUUAAAAGUUUCCUCCUCUGAGGUGGCAUGAUCACUGAUGGAGAGGCCAAGUAAGCCUUUAUACUGUCGAAAGCCUCUUGAUGUGGUGGGCCCUACUCAAAUUCUUCUUUGUUUUUCAAUUUUAGCAAAGGAGUUAGCGGCUGAAUCUUGCCCACCAACUUAGCGAUGAAUCUCCUUAAGAAGUUGAUUUUUCCUAGUAGCCUCUGUAAUUGUACUUUAUUGGUGGGAGGAGGUGAUUCUAUGAUUGCCCGAGCUUUUUCUUGUCAACCUCCACACCUCUUUGAUGAACAAGGAAUCCCAAGAAGUUGCAAGACCUUACUCUAAAAGCACAUUUCUUUGGAUUCAUUUUUAGCUUAUGGAUUCAGUCUUAGACUUUACCAUGAUGUUAGCAAUGUACACUUCCAUGGUAUGGCUAAUCAAGUCAUGAAAAAUGGCAUUCAUUGCUCUUUGAUAGGUCGCUUCAGCAUUUUUUAGCCCAAAUGGCAUCACUACAUAUUCAUAUGCUCCAACAUGAUCUGGGCAUCUGAAAGCUAUUUUGUGUAUAUCUUCUUUAGUCAUUUUUAUCUAAUUAUAACCGGCAUUUCCUUUCAUGAAAGAUAAGACUUUGUGUUUGGCAACUGCAUUUAUGAAUAAGUCAGCCAUAGGCAUUGGAUAUUCAUCUUUAGGCGUGGCUCCAUUAAUGUUCCUAUAGUCAACACAACAUCGAAUCGCCUUAGUUAUAGCUUUUAAUACAAGUACAAUGUUGGCCAAUCACUCGACAUAUUUGGCAGGCCUAAUAAAUCCAGCCUUUACUAGCCUUUCAAUCUCUUCCUUGACCUUUUCCUCGAUCUUCUUUGACAUUCUCCGUGGUGCUUGCUUGACAGGUUUAUACCCCUCCUUAAUAGGCAUUCUAUGUUCUACUAAGGUUGAAUCUAAACCUGGCAUUUCAAUGUAAUGCCAAGCAAAACAGUCUUUGAACUCAUGCAGAAAGCUAACUACAUUUGCCCGAUCCUCCGUUUCUAAUAAGCCACUGAUCUGGAUAGGCCUUGGAUCUUCCUUAGUUCCCAAAUCAAUGGUCUCCAAUGGGUCUUUUACUUCUGAUUAUGGCUUGUUAGGCUCUGCGCACAAGAAUUCAACUAACUUUGGACUCUCGGGCAAGUCUUCUGGCCCGUCCAGGUCAUAUAUACAUUCAGCUAUUUGUAUGGCCGCUUCCAACUCCUUUCCAAAAAACUCUUAUCCGCUCUGGCUGCUUGAGGCUUCCUCCUGGUGCUUCUUGGCCAAGCUCUCCCUUUCUUGCUUUCUCUCUCUUCCAUACACCAACAGUCUUUUGAUUAAGAACCUGACUGCAACUACUUGAUCCUUUUUUCUUUGUUUUAACAUUACUGGUGUUGGGGAGUUGGGACAAUAUAAGGUCGGUCCCAUUCUUCCCUUGUAAGGAACAACCCCUGUUCCAAAAGCUUUUGGGCUGUCACUUUAGUCGGGCGGCCGUUCUUAUCAGCUCCUAAGCACUGGAGAAUCCCAAUGCUAGGAUUGUAAAAAUUGGCUUCUGCCACAUUGGCAGUGGGAAGGAAUGGCUGUGACUCGGCCUCCACCAUUUCCCAAAAUCCAGGUCUCAUAUCUCAUUCUUCGUGGUAAACUGCCACUUGUUGAUGCAUGGUGAAUGGCACUGAGAAACUUUGAUAAAUCCAAUCUCGACCCAAUAAAGCUCCAUAUGUGGAAGUACUAUCCACAACGAAGAAAGCUAACAUGAUCUGCUUGAAACCUAAGUCAACCUCAAAAGGCAAUAUCUCAUGAGUUUUGGUGAUGGCUCUAGAGAAACUGGAAACAGUUAAGUCCAUAGGGAUGAGAUCUUCCUUACUUCUACAUGCCCUCUUCAUCUGCUUGAAAAGCAACACAUUGACUGUGACUCCUCCAUCAAUCAAAACCCUUUUGAAGGGCACUCCCUCCAGAUAAGCAGUUACAUAAAUGGGCUUGAGAUGGUUGGCCAAUCUCCAAGGUUUAUGAGGCAGCGGGGACUUUUAACGAGUUCAUGUGGGUUUUAUAUUGCCUCUAGACUCUCCUAAUCAUAGAGGCUCCCAUUUCUUUAACAGGCUUCUUAUCAUUUCCGACCACAUAUCAUUUUCGCCCAAGUUGGGCAGGUUUCUUCAUUGUGACUGGAUUCAACAUUCUCCCCUUAACUCUGACAUCUCCACCAGCAUAGCUUGGUUGGGGUGGCCUCACAUCCACCCAUCUUGGCACAUUGACCUCUUUGUCCUUCACCUCUUCAGAAGCUUAGUAAUUUCUGAACACUUUAGAAAAAUCCUUUGGUUAGGAGUCUCAUCCUAACCUUUGGAAAACAUUUCUAGAAGUCUCUUUCUCAGCUGACUGCAUGACAUUUCUACGGGCUUCCUGCUUUUCUUUCUCUUUUCUCUUGAUCAGCUCCUGAUCAAUAAUGGCUCCUGACGCUGAGACUUCCAGCUCACACUCACAUUGGCAUCUACUGCACAAUACCACUCCUUUGAUUAUGGUCGCUUUGGGUUUCUCGGGCACCUUUAUGGCUCAUUCAGUUGGCCUAUCAGCUUGCCUCCGUUCUGCUUUCACAUCCCAGGUAGCUUUUCUUUUCCCAUUCUCAGCCCAUGUAAGGUUGAUCAUGUUUAUUGGGACAUCUAGGAAGGGGUUAGUGUCAAUCAUUAUGUUGGCCUACCGUUUAUCCAAUAACAACUUUCCCUUUGCUAUAAGGUCUUGUAUCCAAUCCCUGAACUGGACACAUUUGGUUAUGGAGUGAUUGAAAGUGUAAUGCAACUUGCAAUACUUUUUCUCUCUCAGCUCUUCAGGCUUGGGCAGCUUUUUGGCCCUGUCGGGCACGAUCACCCUUGCUCCAACCAACUCCUCAUAGUUGGUUAAGUCAAAGGAAUAACUCUGGUACUUGGGGGAUUCAUAGGGACAAAUCCACCAUCGUUUAUGACUACUUUCUGGUCCUUCACUAGCUCGACUAACCCUUUUACAGUCAAAGGUUUGAAGGAGGCAGUCAUCUCCGUCGCGCACACAUCCAUUCUCUCUCCUUCAUGGCCAUUAUUUUCUUCUGGUUCUCCUUCAAACUCCACUUGGUGAAUAAUAGCUUUGCUUUUAUAGAAAUAAGGCACAUUAGACAAAUGAUUUACUUAUUGUUCCUCCACCAACAACUUCUCAUACUUGGUGACCACAAUUACCAACUUCUGCAGCUCAUUGAACUGCAUGUCAUAAAACUUCUUCCUUAAAGGUAAUCUCAACGCCUUCUGAGCGAUGGAUAUGAGUUGUGCAUGAUUUAUAUGGAAUUGGCACCUCAUCCUCGUCCUUUUGAACCUCAUCAUGAAGUUUUUUGUAGACUCAUGCUCGUACUGCUUCACCUCCACAAGGUCAUUGAUAGACAUUUCGGGCUCGACCCUAUAAAACUGCUCAUGGAAGGCCAUCUCCAUUUUCCCCAAUUGGCGAUAGAAUUAUGGGGCAACAAAGAAUACUACUGAGAUGCUAAACCCAUCAAGGAGUUCCCAAACAAUCUCAGCUUGUAGUUGGGAUUGUCUUCGAAUGCUACACAGUGAUUAGAGAACUUGAAAAUGCGAUCUCUGGAAAACACAUUACCAUCUUCUCCGCUCAAUGUUGGGAAUACAGGUAUCUUGAAGUUGACUGGAAAAAGGGUUAUGCUCGUCAACGUACAGGAUAGGGCUUCUGAUAAGUGAUCCUAAACAGCGGGUGAGUUUGUGGUUGAGCAUUCCGGGCCACCAUCCUCCUUAACUCGGCUAACUCAUCUCUGAGAUGUUGGUGAGCUGUAUUAUCAGGAAGAGUAUGAGGGGGUUCCCAUUUUGGGCUAUGAUCAUUUCCCGAGAAAAGCUCUUUUCUUGGAUCGGGCUUCCCCCUCCCUUACUGGCCAAUGAUGGGGGCCUAUAAGGAAGAGGUUUAUCUGGUUUAGUAGGCCCGCAUUUUCCACUGGAUUCCCCGAUCAACUGGGGCAUCCCAUACUUCGUUCUUUCUUGACCGCCCUGCCCCCUAUUAUUAAGUGGAAAUAGUGAGGGGUCUGGCAACUCUGCUUCUAAAAUUUCUUCCAACAUUGGCCCACUGGUGCCAUAUUCUUCCUUGUUUUUAUCCUUACCAUUCUUAUCCUCGAGUAAAGGAAAGAAUGGAAUAACUGGUUCUUAUUCGGGGCUUGCUCUCCUCACAUAACCAUUUUUUGGAGUAGAAUACUUUAGAUCUAGUUGUCUCUGCAAACUCCCUAUUAAAGAACAAAGUAUGCUGACUUCUCCCCUGGUUUCUAGGGAAAUAUUCUCCAUACCCCUUAACAUUUACACCAUGGUGGCUUGCAAGUCUUCAUUGGUUACCAUUCCCCCCGACAUCUCAGAUGAGGUCAGGUUUCCCAAAACAGCUGGUCCUUGUAAGGAGGAAACGUUCUCUGUGCGGUCUGCCAUGUUUGAUUUUGGUAAAGACUGGGGUAGCCUGUACUCUGUGUUCCACUUGAAGGUUUUCUCCUUCCUUAUUCUUCUUGGCAUACAAUACUAAUGUGAUCCUACCAGGCAUGCCAAAACUAUGUUCGGGCGAAGAUUUCUCCAGAGAGGGCUCAUCGGCUCUCAACACAACUCCCUAAGAGAUUGACACUUUGGAUGUAUAGUCGGGCUUUUGCUUGCUGAUGUGCUGCAAGAAGAUGAUAGAGUUAGUUUUGAAAUGUGCCUUUGUAGGGCCUUAGGUGUAGGCCUUGAGGCUCGCAAUCAAAACUAACUGAGUGCUAGGCGUGCCACUACUAUCUCAGUAUAGCAUAUGUAGAAUAAGUGUAUUUAGUCGAUUACUUACGUCCCAAGUUACUCGGACUUCUUGUUAUCAAAGGAUUGUCGUGGAUGGGUUAAGUCCACAUUAAGUUCUUUUUCUUACCUUGUGACCAAGGACUUUCAGUUCAUAGUCUUGUAUGUUCGAGUAAGGGGAGUCCAGAUCCCCUUAAGUCAUCUACUCGGUUCUUGAUUGGUUUUAAAUGAAGGCAUAUUCUUUAAGGUGAUCAGAUCCGGGCACAAAUGAGACUCUUAAAGUAGGAAAACAUAUAGAUAUAACUUGAAUACAUACUAUAGAAUACAUUAAGCAGUAGAUCUAUUAACUUAUAAAACAAAAAAAGAGAUUUGAGCAAGAUUUCACCUUGUCGGGCGAGGUUGAACUUCUUGCAAUCACUUCUCUUUUGAGUUUACAGGGUUUAUAUGCUAAGAAGGGAUGAAUGGUAAACAAGUUUACACAAGAGAAUCGAUACUAUGCCACUAGGGGUGAUAGCAGAGCUUCUAAACUAGACAAAAGAUGGCUUUUGUGGGGGAUGAUCCUGAAAAGGAUUGAGAUCUGGGCUGAUUACAGCUUUUAGAUGCAAAUCUGGCUUGAGAGCAGAGUUUGUAUGUUUGUUUGUUUGAUUAGUUGAGUGUCCUUGUCUUUGGGCCCUCUUCCUCCUUUUAUAGGCAGAUUAGCCCGACUACAGUAGCUUUACUCUUGCCCGAAAGCUAUUGAAGAAUAGUGAGUCAUCAACUUUUUACUUGUAUUGCCACCGAAAAGUGUUUUUUGGCUGAUUGUGAGUUAGUCCCCAUCACUUGAUACUUAAAUCAUAGGCACGUGGCCUAUGCAUUAAUGGGAAGGCACCAACUUGUCUCUGGGCCUGGUACUAGGCUUCGGGUACGUCUUCCUUUAAUUGGUAUUAUUGGGCUUCCUCAUACUUGCAGCCCAAAGUUCAAAUAUUAACCCAAACACACUUAUUGAAUUCUAAUACACCUAAAGAACUUUUAAUUAACCCAUCUAAUAAUUUUUUCUUGCUAAAAUCAACUUUCCCUAUCUUUUGGACGAAUUCGAUGCAAAACACCCAUGAAAUCCCCCCCCCCCCAAGGAGCUAGCUCCUAAGAGGCGGGGGGAGGGGGGAAUACUAAAGCCGUCAUUUCCUCUCACGCUUGAGUGCCGUCUAUUACUACCAUGAAUUGAUGGUUUUUUUAUUUUUUAUUUUUUUCAAUUGUUUAUAUAAAAACUUUUGACAUAUAGCUAAAAAUACAUGUAAAUAAAUUCAAUUGCCAUUAAAUAUAAAAACCCAUAAGUCAACCAAUAAGCAUGUGAAGAUGACGAACCCUAAACUUUGAAAUUACAAAUUCAAAACCCACCUUUAUUUCCAGUAGUCUAUGGCCAUGAGGAAUUCAAUGCUUUUCUUUUUUUCUCUCACCCAAUACCUUUUAUUUCCUUUUCAGUUAAUACAAUUUUUGAUAUUAUCUCAAAUUAAAAAUUAAAAGAAAAUUAUGCUAGUAUCCAGUUGGGAUUUGGGAUUUUGCUGCUUUUCUCUCAAGGGUUCUAAUUCCAAACUUUAGCUUCAAGGCUUUCGCGUUAUUUAAGAAAGGACUUUUUACUUUUUUCUUUUUCUUUUAACAAACGAUUUAUCUCCAUUAAGGGUGUAGCGGAGAGAGCUAAGUUCCGUAAUAGGUUAGCCAUAAUAAUGUAGUUCAAAUUCGUUUUUGAUGAGAAUCAAACCUAAGACCUCUUACUUACAAGUGAAGUGGAAUACCACUAGACUGUAGUAUUAAGUGGCUAUUUAAGAGAUGACUUAUAUACUUUAGCUAAAACCUUUGUUAGUUUUCCCUAUAUAAAAUAGGUUUUUUUAUAGCCAAAAUGGUCUCUAAGAUAUGCAUAACUCCUCACUUUGGUCCCUAAGAUUUGAAAUCAAUAGAAGUGGUCCUUAAGAUUGUCCACCAUCAAUCAUUUUAGUCUUUCCGCGAAAAAUUAUGUUAAAUAAGGAUCAAAAUGACAAAAAUACCCUCAAUUUAACAAACAAUAGGACAAAAUGAUUUGACAAAAAAUUGAGGGUAUUUUUGUCAUUUGUUCUUAUUUAAUGGAGAUUUUUCAUGGAAUAACCAAAAUGAUUGAUGAUGGACAAUCUUAGGGAUCACUUCUAUUGAUUUCAAAUCUCAAGGACCAAAGUGAGGAGUUAUGCAAAUCUCGGAGACUGUUUUGGCUAAAAAGCCUAUAAAAUAUGAUGAGAUUUUAAUUUUUAAAAGAAGGAAGAAAACAUCUUAUUUCUUCAUGGCCUAAGAUCUUUCAGUUCCUUUGUUUGUCUUGUGGUGAUAAUAAAAGGAGGAAGAAGUAGAUUUAAGAGUCAUGUUCAUGACAAUUUCAUUAAAAUAAAAACAAAACCUUUUCUUAAAAAAAAAAAAAAAAAGAGAGAGCUAAUUAAUAGCCUUGUGUUUGUAUAAACUCAUGAUGAUUCAGGACUUAUAAGCCAGGUCUGCUUUGUAUGGUACUGUCAUGGUAUCGAAUAUGUUGUAACUGCACAGAUGCAAAGCUUGCUUUGGUUUGAGUUUGUUGAGUUCUAUCUGUAGCUUGGUGAGGUGUGUUGGCAAUGGCUUACACAACGUGAACCAUGCAAGUGCAGAUGGAAAACCUGGUAAUAUGGUUUACUUGUUUAGGGUUUCACAAAGUAUAAAGGUGAAUCGUUAUAUAGGCAGUUCUUCCCUGAAUCUUUAGAAGCAUAAUAUCAUCGGGCAUCCAUUCUUUGUCAGCUAUGUAGGUACAUUGUAAAUAAUUACCAUUCUAACGGAAUAAUUUUUGUUUCGUUGAAGACUACUUUAGCAUAUGUCAUUUUCUCUAUUUAAAGUUUUGGAGAAUAUUAGAGUGUUACCUGGCAAUUAUUGAAUGUAUCAAAUUUAUGGAAAAAAAAACUUGCAUAAAUCGAUUUAUACAUUGAGGUUUUAAAACUUCAAAAUCAUCAUCCAUUGGUAAAAAAGAGAUUGUUUUUCUCUAUUAAGUGUGGGUUUAUUGAUAAACUUUAGUUUUAAUGUUAAUUUCAUCUUAUACUUGAUGGUAAUUAUGCGAUAGGUAAAAAGACAAUUUCCAUUUACAAUUUAAGUUAGGUGUAGAGAGAGGUUAUGUGGGUUCAAAUAAAAUUUUUCAAUUGUUCUUAGCACUCCAAAAAUCUCAUUUGACAUUCCAAACUUUUUAAAAUUAAAAAGAAAAAACAUUUCCCUUUUUUAAUUCAACAAUGAAAAUUAACUGUGUUAGAUAUGAAGUUAAAUUGAGGGACUGGUGUUAAAAAUUAGAAAGGGGACACAAAAAAAAAAAAAACACGAAAUAGGCCCGUGGCCUAUCUAUUGAAUCUGGCUUCAAGUUUUUGUCUCUAAGUUCUAAUGUUGUUCAAUUACUCCAAUUUCAUGAGAGCCACAAGUGAGAGGUGAACUUAUCUUCACCAUUUUUCAGUUGAGGUGAGGAUUGUGUGACUUGUCUUACAAUUUUUUUAUUUUUUAUUUUUCAUAUACCAACGACACCACAACUACAAGGCGGCUGCUUCAUCUCUCUCUCAUGGAUACGUCGGCAGCCGAUGACCACUCCGACGAACCCUUGACCCCAGUAGGUCGGCUCCUUCUCCAACCCGAAAUGAACCAAAUAAUCCACUGUGCCAUGGGAUUCAAAAACUCCAUAGACAUUGACGCCGUAAAGUCUCACCUCAAAACCUCCCUUCUCCUCUCCCACCCAAGAUUCUCAAGCCUCAUGCUCCGCGACUCCCGCGGCCUCCAGCACUGGCACAAUGCCCCCUACGUUGACCUCGACCGCCACAUCAUUGUCAUCCAGAACCCCGUCACCACAUCUCCCGUCGAUCACGAGACCGCAGUUAACGAAUACUUGGCCGACCUCUCCACAAGCUCUACUAGACUGAGCGCGAACAAACCCCUCUGGGAACUUCACCUCCUCAUGGCCCACAACUGCGGCGUCUUCCGAAUCCACCACGCAUUGGGAGACGGGGUUUCGGUCAUGUCCCUAUUCUUGGAGAGUUUCAGGACGAGAGGCUCAGAUGGAAAUGAAGAAAAGAUUUUGGGUCGUGGAAGGAGGAAGAGAGUGAAUGGUGAAAAGGGAUGGUGGGGUUUGUUGAUUGGGUAUGUGGGGACGUUGUGGUUUAGCUUGGUGUUUUUGGUGGAGCAUGCGAUGAGGAGCUUGUGGCUUUGUGACCAGAAAACAGCGAUAAGUGGCGGCGAGGGAGUUGAGCUCUGGCCUAGGAAGCUGGCCACGGCUAGGUUUCGGCUUCAGGACAUGAAGCUCGUCAAGAAAGCUGUUCCGAAUGCGGUAAGUGACUUAUUAAUUCUUCUGUGUUUAUUGGUUUGUUUCAGAAAUAGAAUAAUGUAUAUUAUACUUGUUCAUAGCUUGAACCUUCAAGAUUCAAAUUGACGCAUGACAUACAACAUAAAUACCAACUAAUUAUAUGGGGUAAAAAUCUCCUAAUCUGUGUCAAAUAUUUUCAGAAAUCUUUUUCCCUGUAAAAAACCCCUAAUUGGAUUAGUUUUAAUUGAAGAGAAAAUUUUCAGCAUGUUGGGAACAUAGUCUGAUAUAUCAAGUGUCAUAAUCAGUGGCGGAGCCAGAAAUUCUGUUAAGGAGAAUCAAUCUUAAGUGACUAUAAAAUUAUGAUUAAUUGAGCUUAUAAGUGAAAAUUACUUAAGAAAUGAUCAUGAGUAUGAACUUAUUUAGCAUAAAAAAAAUGUUUUAAGUUUCCAACAUUGAUAUCAUGAUUUAAUUAAUUACAUUAUAACAGAUGAUGCUUUAUAACAAUGGCGGAAAACAAUCAUGCAUAUACACCUUGGUGCGAAUUCGAAUAAAAAUAAUUGGACUCAAUUAUGAGCAAAUUGCAUUUGUGAGGAGCGUCAACUAUAAAUAUAAAAGCCAAGCUACAUCAUUAUAGCACAUAUAAAUACAACAUUUCCGGAUCGUGAGAAGAGUCAUAUGACCCUCCUAGGCUUUAACUGGCUCUGCCAAUAGUCAUAAUACAAGCGACUGGAAUUUUUUUUUAAGUAUCCAAUCACUUGCAUUUUGACACUUGAUGUACCGGAUCGUAUUCAUGGUACAUUGAAAAAUCUCUUCUAACUAAACAGCAAACAAUCAACCUCAUUGAAUUUUGGGUUUUACUGAAAUCAUCAUUACGUUUUCUUUUGAUUUUUUUUCUUUUCUGUUUGGGCGUGCUAUCCACACACCCAUUUUAACAUCUUACACACCCUUGUUAGUUUAUAUUUAAUCUUCUUCAAUUCAUUCGAUUAGACAACCAAAAGUUGAGAACAUUGUAUAUGAGGUAAAAAGGAAUGUGUGAAUAACACCACCCAAAUAUUUAAGAAAAGGGCAAAAUUUCUUUUGAUUCAUUCAAUUGUUUUCUUUUCAUAAAAAAAUUUAAUUAAAUGCAUAAGUAACUAUGGUUUGUUAAAUAGAUAUGUGACAUGAUUCUUGAGGGAGAUGGAGGUAACUGUGACCUUGAGUUAGGGGGUUGAGGGGGGUGGGGUAACUGUCACCUUGAGUUAGCGGGUUGAGCGAAAAUAGACUCGAUAGAGUUUGAGUUCGAGUUGAGAAGCACUUCAAAUAUAAUACUAAAAGACGAGAGCUGGCUUGAAAAGCACUUCAAAUGAGCUCUGGUUUUUUGAGACCCUAAUGUCAACCCAGCAAAGAGAUUGAAUACAACUUAAAAUAUAGACAAUCAAGUCGAAAGUUUUAUACACGUCUAAAGUUGAACAUUUUUCCCUUUUAUUUUAGAAAGGAAAAAACAGAAGGUUUGGACUUUGUAUAUGUGAAGAAAUGAAACAUUUACAUAUUUGGCAUUUGCAUAUUUGGUUGUAUCUCUUCGAUGAUUAAAGGGAAAAAAAAAUAUUAGAUGGUAGUUUAACAUUGUCAUGUGACAUAAUUCGUUCAUUUUAUUGGUCAGAAUAAAGUUUAUUUUUUCUAAAAAAGGUUUCUUAACUAAUAAGGAAUUCUCACAGGGUUUUGACUACAAACUUUAUGGGCUAUAAGUUAUGAUUUUAGUCCCCGUAUUUGUGGCAAAAUAAUUACAUUUUGGCUCCUAUAGUUUCAAUUUUUAUGACCUAAUCUUGUAUUUUACUAAUUGUUACAUUUAAGACAAUAACUUAUGAAAAAAAUUUGAUUUACACCCUCAACUUUUGUCGUCCUGUACUCUUUUUGCUAUGUUUAUGUCCCUUGAUUUAUUUUUGAUUUAUUCAAUCUUGUGGCUAAAAACAAAAGCAAGAAUACAUGAUAAGUGAGAGUUUGAAAAUUAUUUCCAAACUUAAUUCCAUCAUGUUUUCGUUGAAAAUGUGUUAUGUCACCCGCAAGGUAAUUAUGACGAAAAAGUUGAGAUGAAAUUAAAUUGUCUUUGAAUUACAACCAUUAAUAAAUUGUAAAGAUUGAAUAGAGACAACCACAUCAAGUGGUCCAAUGGUAAGGGCAUAGGCUUGACGUCCUAAUAAACAAAAAAUAUGAGAGGUUCUGUGCUUGAUGCUCCAAGUUGGUGAGACUAUUUGACCCUGGUCACGAGCAAGGUGAAAUUCUUUAUAGCCUUUCUGAAUUCAGAAGUGAUGGAUAACCAUGGUUUGCCAUUAGUUGUUCUUCUUUUUACAAAAGAAAGAAAUAGAGACAAUUGAAACUACAUUGACCGAAAUGGAACUUCACUCAACCACUAAAAGCAUGAUUUGGCUAUCACGCAGACCAUCAACGAUGUUCUUGUUGGCGUGGUUUCGUCAGGGCUGUCAAGGUACCUAGAUCACCAAACACCAAAUGGUAAUUAAUGUCAUUCUUGAAUCUGUUCUAGUGCUUGUGCUUCCCAUUUGAAAUAGAUCAAGUAUCAAUGGCAAUCACGAUAACCAAGUUAUAGCUAAACUUAAUUGUCCAGCUCUGCAUGACGGAAUUCGAAUUACAGGCCUAGCUAUGGUCAAUUUAAGAAAGCAACCUGGAUUGCAGGUUCGUCGUGAUUUAUAAACUUUCAUUUAUAUUAUAGGGUAAAAGAUUGUUUACUACCUCAUGUUUCGUGGUUUUCAACAUUUAGUACAUCAAGUUUUUUUCAUCUCAGAUUCAUAUCUAAAGUGUAAAUUUUGGGACAGUCUCAUACAUCCGUUAGUCAAACUGUUAAAUCUUUCGUUAAUUGUGACGUGGCGCUCAUGUGAACAAUGAUUGGGCGCCAUGUGUCAUCCACGUUUUUUUUCUCUUCUUCUUCUUCUCCUUCCUCCGAAUCUGGGGAAGUUUUUUUUUUCUUCUUCUUCUUCCUCCUUCCUUCCUCAUCUUCUUCUUCUUCCUCCUCCCCGAAUUUGGACCUUUUUUUUUUUUUCUUCUUUCUCCUUCUUCCUCUGACUGCAACUUUUUUUUUCUUCCUCCUUCUCCUUCUUCCUGAAGAAGAAGAAGAAGAAGAAGAGAAGAAAUUUAUAAAAAAAAAGUUGCAGUCGGAGGAAGAAGGAGAAGGAGGAAGAAAUAAAAAAUAAAAAAUAAAAGUUGUAGGAAGAAGAAGGAGGAAGAAGAAGUGGAUGACAUGUGACGCCCAGUCAUUGUCUACAUGGGCGUCACGUCACAAUUAACGGUAGAUUUAACAGUUUGACUAACGGAUGUAUGAGACUGUCCCAAAAUUUACACUUUUGGUAUGAAUCUGAGACGAAAAAAACUUGAUGUAUUAAAUGUUGAAAAUCACGAAACAUGAGGAUAGUAAAUAGUCUUUUACCCUAUAUUAUAUAUAAUUGGUUGUUUUAAGAACUUCUAUAUGGUUCUUGCUAUAUUUUUUCUUUCUAAUUUUUCAGGCGAAUCCUAACUUACUGAUGCAUAACUGAGUUUUGGUAUAUAUUUUCAGGAGGCCUACUCACAAUUUUCCCAAAACUAACAAAUUAAUAAGCAUACGAAACACAAGAAAAUUAAUUGCAUAAACGGCACCUGGACCUUUUUAACUUUCAUACAAUUACCACGUAAACUAACCACUCCGAUUCAAACAAGUUUCAUCCGCAAUUCUGCCAUAUGUGAUCGCGUGACUUGCACGAUGAUUCCUUUUUCUUAGUUCAGAGUUCAACCACCAGCUUCGUCCAAACAAACUAAUUUUUAGAUACACAUAUCCCAGAGUUGAAACUUGAAAGCAUAGGGAAAUGUUAGGUUAGGCUUAUGAGAUGCUGCAGUAAGAUUUUGAUAGUCAGUGAGAUGCAUGUUAGGUUAGGUUUGUGCUUGUUGAUGAGUUUGCAGGAAGUGGUCCGGAAUGGCUGAGGUUUAUUUGGGGGGGGGGGGGGGGGAAUAGCUUAAUUCCCGCGCAUAUGUUCUAGCAUGCAAGUCUCUUGAUCAUAUUUGACGGAAUUGUACACGGAAAAUUAUUAGAUGAAGGUUCAAUAUUAUUAUCAAAUGAUUUUAAGUAUGUUAGUUGUAUCUACAACAGCUACAAACCCGUAGUACAGAAGUUACUUUGUAUCUAUAAUUAAUUAAGACGAGAAGACUUAGCAUAAAACAAACCACCACGACCAAAUGAAACAAGGAACUCCCCCAGAAAAAUAAAUACAACAACAACAACAACAAAGCCUUUUCCCACUAAGUGGGGUCGGCUAUAUGAAUCCUAGAACGCCAUUGCGCUCGGUUUUGUGUCAUGUCCUCCGUUAGAUCCAAGUACUCAAGUCUUUUCUUAGGGUCUCUUCCAAAGUUUUCCUAGGUCUUCCUCUACCCCUUCGGCCCUGAACCUCUGUCCCGUAGUCACAUUUUCGAACCGGAGCGUCAGUAGGCCUUCUUUGCACAUGUCCAAACCACCGGAACCAAUUUUCUCUCAUAUUUCCUUCAAUUUUGGCUACUCCUACUUUACCUCGGAUAUCCUCAUUCCCAAUCUUAUCCUUUCUCGUGUGCCCAUACAUCCCACGAAGCAUCCUCAUCUCUGCUACACCCAUUUUGUGUACGUGUUGAUGCUUCACCGCCCAACAUUCUGUGCCAUACAACAUCGCUGGCCUUAUUGCCGUCCUAUAAAAUUUUCCCUUGAGCUUAAGUGGCCUACGACAGUCACACAACACGCCGGAUGAACUCUUACACUUCAUCCAUCCAGCUUGUAUUCUAUGGUUGAGAUAUCCAUCUAAUUCUCCAUUCUCUUGCAAGAUAGAUCCUAGGUAGCGAAAACGGUCACUUUUUGUGAUCUUCGCUAGAUUGCUCCGGUUAUUAGUGUGGAUAAGUAUAUAAAUGGAUAGAGAUGGGAAAGCAAACACAAGAUGUACGUGGUUCACCCAGAUUGGCUACGUUCACGGAAUAGAGGAGUUCUCAUUAAUUGUGAAGGGUUUACACAAGUACAUAGGUUCAAGCUCUCCUUUAGUGAGUACAAGUGAAUGAUUUAGUACAAAUGACAUUAGGAAAUAUUGUGGGAGAAUGAUCUCGUAACCACGAAACUUCUAAGUACCGGAGUGUGGUAUCGUCUUGACUUGCCUUAUCUGUCUCAUAGGUAGAUGUGGCAUCUUCUCUGGAAGUACUCUUCCUCCCUCUAGGGGUGGUAUCUGUAACUGGUGGAGAUGCACAAGGUAAUGUAUCAAUUUCACUUGAAGCUUACUUGUAGUUUCAGGCUUGGUCAAACGCGAUACAAACCAUGUAGUAGGAGUCCCCCAAGUCGCCGAGCUAGGGGAUUUGCUGAAAGAGGUGACAGACAAGGUAAGCAAUCAGAGCUUCGGCUGAUUGUUCACAUUCUCCCUAUCUUGCAGGCAGCAUGAAGGAUAAAGAGAAGAAAAAUGAGAAGAGAUGAUAUGGGAUACUUUUGCUUUUGAAGAAGUAACUUUCCAUAGGCUUAUUCUUGAACUGGGCUGGAGGGUUUUCUGGUUUCCUCAAGAGUAUAAGGCCGACUGAAGAAUUUGAGGGUCAAAACAAGUCCAGCAAAUCUAGAGUACGUUCGACCCUGCUGAUAUGAGAUACUUUUGCUUUUGACAGAGUAGUGGAUGUAUCGGCACGUGUGCUGUUACGCUUGUCUCCACAUGCUUCAUUGUAUCCUUCUCACUUGCCCUAUCUGUUUCUCAGGCAGAUGCGGUAUCUUCCCUGGAAGCAUAAGAUGUUGAAGAUGAGUACUCGAGAGCAAUGCCAGGUAAGUAAUCAGGUAAGGGGUUCCAGGCAGUCAGUUCCUGGCUGGAAGCUUGAUUCCAAGUGCUGACUGAUUGCUCUCUUUCUCCCUGUCUUGCAGGUAAGAACAAGGCCAAAGGAAAAGACAGGGAAAAAGCAUGAUAUGGGAUACUCUUGCUUUUAACCCUGAUGAUAUGAGAUAUUCUUGCUCUAGUAUAGCUUGUUUACAGAGGUAUUAUCGGGGGGAAAGAAAGCUGAAUAUUUCGAAAGGCUUCGUUAAGAGUGCCUUCUCAGAUAAGAGGAAGGGUUGAGCAUUUUUGCAGGUCUGCCUGUCCGUUGGGGAUGGAGGUCGACAUAUAUAGGAGUCUCCCUAACAUCAAGUAAUAAUGCUAUUCCUUUACCCUGCUUGGUCAUAGCACGGUAGUGGGAGCUGCCAGCUUCACAUGUUUUAACUCUGUCAGAGCACUUUGAAAAAGUGGUCUGUGGUAUCUGGAAAGUUGAUGUUGCGUGUGAAGAUUACAGACAAGCUUUAUCCAAGGAGAUCCAGCUCUUGAAGUUGGGAAAGUGGUGCCUCUUCGGUUUUCGAACAAGCAAUCUUGUCGGGGAUCUGGCUCUCAAGAUUCGAAGAACGAUGCCUCUUCGAUUUUUGAGAAAGCAAUCCUGCUAGGGGUCUGGCUCUCGAGAUUCGGAGAGCGGUGUCUCUUCGAUUUUUGAGAAAGUAAUCAUGUUGGGAGUCUGGCUCUCGAGAUUCGGAGGGCGGUGCCUCUUCGAUUUUGGAGCAAGCAAUCUUGUCGGGAGUGUUUUCUCGAAUGUGAGUAAAGGUUGGGCAUGUUUGCUAGUCUACCUUGCCACGAAGCACAGAGGUUGACACACAGGGACUCUCUAAUUAUCCAGCAGUGGUACUGUUCCUUUACCCUCUCUUCAAUUUUUGAGAAAGUAAUCAUGUUGGGAGUCUGGCUCUCGAGAUUCGGAGGGUGGUGCCUCUUCGAUUUUGGAGCAAGUAAUCUUGUCGGGAGUGUUUUCUCGAAUGUGAGUAAAGGUUGGGCAUGUUUGCUAGUCUACCUUGCCACGAAGCACAGAGGUUGACACACAGGGACUUUCCAAUUAUCCAGCAGUGGUACUGUUCCUUUACCCUCUCUUCGAUUUUUGAGAAAGUAAUCAUGUUGGGAGUCUGGCUCUCGAGAUUCGGAGGGCGGUGCCUCUUCGAUUUUGGAGCAAGCAAUCUUGUUGGGAGUGUUUUCUCGAAUGUGAGUAAAGGUUGGGCAUGUUUGCUAGUCUACCUUGCCACGAAGCACAGAGGUUGACAUACAGGGACUCUCUAAUUAUCCAGCAGUGGUACUGUUCCUUUACCCUCUCUUCAAUUUUUGAGAAAGUAAUCAUGUUGGGAGUCUGGCUCUCGAGAUUCGGAGGGUGGUGCCUCUUCGAUUUUGGAGCAAGCAAUCUUGUUGGGAGUGUUUUCUCGAAUGUGAGUAAAGGUUGGGCAUGUUUGCUAGUCUACCUUGCCACGAAGCACAGAGGUUGACACACCGGGACUUUCCAAUUAUCCAGCAGUGGUACUGUUCCUUUACCCUUGUGGGUAAUAAUAUGGUAGCUAAACCUUCAAAAUUUAUGUGUCUAAACUUUGUUAGUGUUGUUUCUUUGCUAUUCUUUUACCCUUCUUGGUCAGAGCGAUGUAGUGGGAGCUGCAAGCUUCACGUGUCUCAACUUUGUCAGAGAACUUUGGCAAAGUUAUCUGUGGUACCCAUGAGCUACUGUUGCGUGUGGGAAGUGGGUGAUUGAACAGUACGAUUCAUGUGCUUUCUACUUCGCCAGAAAUCUUCGACAGAAUGCCCAUAAUUUCCGCAAAGCUGAGUGUGCGUGUGACAGGUGCUGACAAGGCUGGAAAAAGUAGGUGCCUCUUCGAUUUCUGAGAUCGGCCCUCGUGGUCUCUGAGCAGCCCAGCUUUUGAGAAAGCAAGCCUCUUCGAUUUCUGAGAUCGGCCUUCGUGGUCUUUGAGCAGCCCAGCUUUUGAGAAAGCAAACGCCUCUUCGAUUUCUGAGAUCGACCCUCGUGGUCUCUGAGCAGCCCAGCUUUUGAGAAAGCAAACGCCUCUUCGAUUUCUGAGCAGGCGCCUUUUCGAUUUCUGAAGCUUCCGUCGAGUGCAGAUUUUUAUAGGGGCUGACAUUAAGUUCCAAAGCACACUUGAAGUAAGCCUCCAUUCUUGCACUUCUAAGAUCUUGAUUUGUCCGACCUCUUCUCUCUUCAACACCUUUGAAAAUGUCUGGCCCCUCCGACCGUCGUUUUGACUUGAACCUUGUUGAAGAGGCAGCCCCGCCUUCUCCAGACAACAUAUGGCGCCCAUCCUUCGUCUCCCCUACUGGUCCUCUUACCGUUGGGGAUUCCGUGAUGAAGAAUGAUAUGACCGCUGCGGUGGUGGCCAGGAACCUUCUCACUCCCAAAGAUAACAGACUACUUUCCAAACGGUCUGAUGAGUUGGCUGUUAAGGAUUCUCUGGCUCUCAGUGUUCAGUGUGCAGGUUCUGUGUCUAAUAUGGCCCAACGCCUAUUUGCUCGAACCCGCCAAGUUGAAUCAUUGGCGGCUGAAGUGAUGAGUCUCAAACAGGAGAUUAGAGGGCUCAAGCAUGAGAAUAAACAGUUGCACCGGCUCGCACAUGACUAUGCUACAAACAUGAAGAGGAAGCUUGACCAGAUGAAGGAAUCUGAUGGUCAGGUUUUACUUGAUCAUCAGAGAUUUGUGGGUUUGUUCCAAAGGCAUUUAUUGCCUUCGUCUUCUGGGGCUGUACCGCGCGUAAUGAAGCUCCAAAUGAUCAACCUCUGAUGCCUCCUCCUUCUAGGGUUCUGUCCAGUACUGAGGCUCCGAAUGAUCCCCCUCCGGUGCCUUCUCUUUCUGGGGCUCUACCGACUGCUGAGACUUCUCCUAAGCAACCUUUGUGAAGGCUCCCUCUUGUUUGUUUAUUUUGACUCAUGUAUAUGUACAUAUUUGUAACUUAUCGGGGAUAUCAAUAAAUAAGCUUUCCUUCAUUUCAACGUAUUGUGUUAAAUACACCAAAGCCUUCUUCGCUAAGUUCUUUGAAUUUUCUUUUGUUGAAGCUUGUAUGUUGAAGCUUUGUGAGUGGAGCAUGUAGGUUGAGGUAGUGUUCCCUUAAUUUCCCGAGUGAGGAAAACUUCUCGGUUGGAGACUUGGAAAAUCCAAGUCACUGAGUGGGAUCGGCUAUAUGAAUCUUAGAACGCCAUUGUGCUCGUCCUGUGUCAUGUCCUCCGUUAGAUCCAAGUACUCUAAGUCUUUUCUUAGAGUCUCUCUUCCAAAGUUUUCCUAGGUCUUCCUCUACCCCUUCGGCCCUGAACCUCUGUCCCAUAGUCGCAUCUUCUAAUCGGAGCGUCAGUAGGCCUUCUUUGCACAUGUCCAAACCACCGUAACCGAUUUUCUCUCAUCUUUCCUUCAAUUUCGGCUACUCCUACUUUACCCCGGAUAUCCUCAUUCCUAAUCUUAUCCUUUCUCGUGUGCCCACACAUCCAACGAAGCAUCCUCAUCUCCGCUACACCCAUUUUGUGUACGUGUUGAUGCUUCACCGCCCAACAUUCUGUGCCAUACAGCAUCGCCGGCCUUAUUGCCGUCCUAUAAAAUUUUCCCUUGAGCUUCAGUGGCAUACGGCGGUCACACAACACGCCGGAUGCACUCUUCCACUUCAUCCAUCCAGCUUGUAUUCUAUGGUUGAGAUCUCCAUCUAAUUCUCCGUUCUUUUGCAAGAUAGAUCCUAGGUAACGAAAACGGUCGCUCUUUGGUAUUUCUUGAUCUCCGAUCCUCACCCCUAACUCGUUUUGGCCUCCAUUUGCACUGAACUUGCACUCCAUAUAUUCUGUCUUUGAUCGGCUUAGGCGAAGACCUUUAGAUUCCAACACUUCUCUCCAAAGGUUAAGCUUUGCAUUUACCCCUUCCUGAGUUUCAUCUAUCAACACUAUAUCGUCUGUUAAAAAGCAUACACCAAGGAAUAUCAUCUUGAAUAUGUCCUGUUAACUCAUCCAUUACCAACGCAAAAAGGUAAGGACUUAAGGAUGAGCCUUGAUGUAAUCCUACAGUUAUGGGAAAGCUUUCGGUUUGUCCUUCAUGAGUUCUUACGGCAGUCUUUGCUCCUUCAUACAUAUCCUUUAUAGCUUGGAUAUAUGCUACUCGUACUCCUUUCUUCUCUAAAAUCCUCCAAAGAAUGUCUCUUGGGACCCUAUCAUACGCUUUUUCCAAAUCUAUAAAAGACCAUGUGUAAAUCCUUUUUCCCAUCUCUAUAUCUUUCCAUCAAUCUUCGUAAGAGAUAGAUUGCCUCCAUGGUUGAGCGCCCUGGCAUGAACCCGAAUUGGUUGUCCGAAACCCGUGUCUCUUGCCUCAAUCUAUGCUCAAUGACUCUCUCCCAGAGCUUCAUUGUAUGACUCAUUAGCUUAAUACCCCUAUAGUUCAUGCAAUUUUGUACGUCGCCCUUAUUCUUGUAGAUAGGCACCAAAGUGCUCGUUCGCCACUCAUUUGGCAUCUUCUUCGUUUUCAAAAUCCUAUUGAAAAGGUCAGUGAGCCAUGUUAUAUACCUGUCUCUCCCAAAACUUUCCACACUUCGAUUGGUAUAUCGUCUGGGCCUACUGCUUUUCUAUGCUUCAUCUUCUUCAAAGCUACAACCACUUCUUCCUUCCGGAUUCUACGAUAAAAAGAGUAGUUUCUACACUCUUCUGAGUUACUCAACUCCCCUAAAGAAGCACUCCUUUCAUGUCCUUCAUUGAAAAGAUUAUGAAAAUAACCUUUCCAUCUGUCUUUAACCGCGUUCUCUGUAGCAAGAACCUUUCCAUCCUCAUCCUUGAUGCACCUCACUUGGUUUAGGUCCCUUGUCUUCUUUUCCCUUGCUCUAGCUAGUUUAUAGAUAUCCAACUCUCCUUCUUUGGUAUCUAGUCGCUUUAUACAUAUCGUCAUAAGCCGCUAACUUAGCUUCUCUCACAGCUUUCUUCGCCUCUUGCUUCGCUUUUCUAUACCUUUCACCAUUUUCAUCGGUCCUAUCCUUGUAUAAGGCUUUACAACAUUCCUUCUUAGCCUUCACCUUUGUUUGUACCUCCUCAUUCCACCACCAAGAUUCCUUUUGGUGUGGGGCAAAGCCCUUGGACUCUCCUAAUACCUCUUUUGCUACUUUUCGGAUACAACUAGCCAUGGAAUCCCACAUUUGGCUUAGCUUCCCCCUCUCUAUCCCACACACACUGGGUGAUUACUUUCUCUUUGAAAAUGGCUUGUUUUUUUUUCUUCUUUUAGAUUCCACCAUCUAGUCCUUGGGCACUUCCAAGUCUUGUUCUUUUUUCUCACUCUUUUGAUAUGUACAUCCAUCACCAACAAGCGAUGUUGAUUAGCCACGCUCUCUCCUGGUAUAACUUUGCAAUCCUUACAAGUUAUACGAUCCCCUUUCCUCAUUAGAAGAAAAUCUAUUUGUGUUUUUGACGACCCACUCUUGUAGGUGAUCACAUGUUCUUCUCUCUUCUUAAAGAAGGUGUUGGCUAAGAAGAGAUCAUAUGCCAUUGCAAAAUCCAAGAUAGCUUCCCCAUCCUCGUUUCUCUCCCCAAAACCAUGGCCACCAUGAAAACCUCCAUAGUUGCCUGUCUCCCUGCCCACGUGUCCAUUUAAAUCUCCUCCUAUAAAUAACUUCUCCGUCUGAGCAAUUCCUUGCACCAAGUCUCCAAGGUCUUCCCAAAAUUUCUCCUUCGAACUCGUAUCCAACCCUACUUGAGGUGCGUACGCACUAAUCACAUUGAUAAGUUCUUGUCCUAUUACAAUCUUGAUUGCCAUGAUUCUAUCUCCUACCCUCUUGACAUCUACAACAUCUUGUGUCAAGGUCUUGUCCACGAUGAUGCCAACACCGUUUCUCGUUCUAUUUGUGCCCGAAUACCAUAGUUUAAACCCUGAGUUUUCUAGAUCCUUUGCCUUACUACCAACCCACUUAGUUUCUUGUAGGCACAUAAUAUUUAUCCUUCUCCUCACCAUAACUUCUACUACUUCCAUAGAUUUUCCCGUCAAGGUUCCUAUAUUCCACGUUCCUAAACGCAUUUUGCUCUCUUGAACUCUACCCUUCUGUCCUAGCUUCUUCACCCUUCCCCGUCUAAUAGGAUCAAAGUACUUCUUUUGUGUGUCCCGUGUAAAGUUGAUAGGAGCAUAUGCUCCCAAACAACUUUGAGUGGAGUCGUUCGAAAAGAAGUUUCUAUAGCCCCCUUGCUCAUUUAACACUGCAUCCGGGUGCCGAUGGAGAUACAGCGACCCUUGCUCACUUAUCACUGUGCUCGGGCCACACAGCGCGCCACUUACGGGUGACGCCCUAGUUUUAGCGCGAUUUCGUUCUGGAUUCAUUUUCAUAAGGAUUUGACGUAAUCAUGGAGUGUCGGUUGUCGACUACCUGACGUCCUCCCCCUCCUCCUUUAUCCGGGCUUGGGACUGGCAAUGUAAGAUAAACUUACACGGCGGAGUUUCCCCCAGAAAAAUAAAUAAAUAAACAAAAUUAUGGAAUUGAAAACAACUUUAAACAGCUUUUAAUUUUUGACUUUUAGUUUUCAUUCUGUAUAUUUGUCACAUAUAUCUUCUGCCAUCCUUUGUCACUUUUUUAUCUCUCUCAUAAUCUCACGUAAACUUGCCCCUUAUCUCUAGCACAAAAUGAAAACUAAAACUUAAAGCCAAAAUCGUUAUCAAAUAAACCCUUAAUUUGUCAUGUUUUUCAACCCAACCCCAAAAACCUAGAUAAGCACCCUAAUUGUUGAGAAUGAAUCCCACAUUAAUGAGAUGAGGGACAUUGCUUGUGCUUAUAAGUUGUUGGGCUACUCCCAUAUUGCCAAUUGGUUUUAUGGUGGAACCUCAACCUUUUCAUCGUAUCAGAGCAGGUUGUCCCACGUAUGAAGCCCAACGGCCACACACGCUCCACGUCACCCCGUUGUGUUGUCCAUGUGUUAGGCUUAAAAAUUCGCCACAUGUGAAGGGGCAUGUUGAGAAUGAGUCCCACAUUUAUGGAAUGAGGGACCUUGCAUGGGCUUAUAAGUUGGUUUACUUCCCAUAUUGUCAAUUGGUUUUAUGGUGGAACCUCAACUUUCUUCAUGGUAUCAGAGCAGGUUGUCUCAUAUGUGAAGCUCAAUGGCCACACGUGCUUCACAUCACCCCGUUGUGUUGUCCACGUGUUAGGCUUGAAAAUUCACCACACGUGAGGAGGGGUGUGUUGAGAAUGAAUCCUACAUUGAUGAGAAGAAGGACCUUGCAUGUGCUCAUGAAUAAUUGGACUACUCCCCAUAUUACCAAUUUGUUUUUGGUGAAACCUCAACUUUCUUCACUUAUCAUCCCACGAAUAUAACCAGGUAUCCAAUUUGAUGGUAGUUGGUUGGAGAUAAUGAUUGUAUGAAUAUGAUCAGGUAUCCAAUUCGUGUUUGGAAAGCAACUCUGAAUCAAGCUGGGGUAACAAGUUCGGCAUGUUUCUCCUACCUAUUUAUUACCAUAAAAGCAGUGAUCUUGAUCCUCUAGUGUACCUCAAGAGAGCUAAGCUGGUUCUUGACAGGAAGAAACAAUCUCUAGAAGCUGAUUUUUCGUACAAAGUUGGAUGUUUUCUAAUCACCUACUUUGGAGCAAAGGUAAUCAACAUGUAUUUUUAAGAAAAAUCUGUUGUGCUUCUAACAUAAACGCUUCGACAAAAAAUGGUUAUGAGUAACAGUGUUUCCUACAAAUCAUUCCUAAAUGUGCCCCAAUAUUCAAAAAUGUAUAUAAAAAGAAAAUAGUUUCAUUCUACUGCUGCAGGUUGCUAGUUGGCUUCUUUACAAGAUGGUCUGCAAUACUAGCUUUACCAUUUCAAAUAUACUUGGCCCGCAAGAAGAAAUUGCAAUUGGGGGCAACCUUGUAACUUACCUUAAAGUGAAUACAUGCAGCCUACCCCAGGUAUAUAUAUGAUGCUAACCAAUUAGUAGGGAUACGCUAUCGAUCUUUGAACAAUGACAUAAUUAGAAAUGAGUAGCUCAAAUCAUAGAAUGACGUUGUGAUGGGGCGUUAUGUUACAUUCUAGAAAAUGCCAGAUGUAGCAAAUCAGAAGUAUCUGUAAUGUAACUGGAAUACUUUUGCUGGUUGGUAACGCAGGCACUUACAAUGCACAUGGUGAGCUAUGCUGAAAGAGCUGACCUGCAAAUCUUGGUGGCCAAAGAUAUCAUUCCGGAUCCAACAUUUCUCGCAAAAUGCUUUGAAGAGGCAUUGCUUGAUAUGAAGGAAGCAGCAUCCAGCCAUGAGUAAAACCUAGGAUAUGACCUCUCUAUAUUUUAUGGAAUGUGAUAUAAGAAUGUCAUUGGUAGGAACCUACGAAGGAAAGCAUGCAUCUUUCGUAAACCGAAACAAUUGAGGAUUUUAGUGUAAUCGGCCCAAUAUAUGAGUAGCCAAAUAUCUAUCGGUGGCUAAUCUAGCAAAAUCUAUCAUUUGACAAGAAGAAAAGAAAAUCCAUUUUAGCUUUUAGAACAAUAGACCAUCUCUUUAAUACUGUUGGAAAAUUUAAUCAAAACGAGUUAAAUCGUUUAAAUACAUUGAUGGGUUGUUAUGAUUCAUGAAUUAGGUUUUGAUGUUGGAUUAUAUGGCAUGUGCCACAUUAUAGCUGAUAGGAUUGGUUAGAGAUAAGGAUGACAUGUCAGCAUUUAUUUUAGCUAAAGUCAAUUAUACUAGCUAUAGUAGCUUAAUUAUUGUGUAAGCAAGAUAGUUACAGAGUAUAAGUGUAAGAAUUGAGAUCAUUUAUAAGAUACGAUUGAAUUGAAGCAAAUACAAAGAAACACUUUCUUCUUCACUAAGCUUUCUCCCUCUCUCUAGAUUUGAUUGUUUGAGGAGAAAUUGUGCAACAUUUGUCUUAAUAUGAAUAGAGAUGCAAUCGUUGACUCUUUAAGACACAACUAUAUAUUAUGAAGAGUCAUUUCCACACCUAGAUAAAGAUCUUAUCUCAUUGAGUCAUGAGUCAAUUACAUUCAGUCAUAUAAGUUCAUGUGAGUUUUGUCAUACAUAAAUUGAGUUUUUGAGAGAGUUCAGCAUACUUGUGGUCAAUGACGGAGCCAAAAAUUUAUCCUAAUAGGGUACAACAAAAGAAUAAUACUUGGCUACUCAAAUAAUGAGUAGGAGUUACUACUCAAAACAGUUCGAGACGAUUUCACAGACACCGGCAGAAUGGACGACGACUAUUGUGAUAACGAUGGUAAUUCAAAUAAGGGCCUAUACUCUACCCGUAACACCAGCAACCGCGCUGAUAGGUCUGCACUCAAAAAGUUAAGCGUGGAGGACUAUUACACAGAGAUUAGUUUUAGGUAUGUGAUGAGAGUGCAGCGGAUAAUUGAGCUCCAAUGUGAGGCUUUGGUUAGGGAGUUUAAGGUAAACCCUUUGAUUUGUGGGUUGGCUGGGACCGUUUCACUACGCUUCAUGGCAGGGACUAGGGUUUUUUAUGGUGAUUGGGGUGAGCAGCUUUUCAAGGACUCAGACACACCAGCAAGGUUUGUAGCCACUAUAAUAUUAUUUCUUCGAGAAUCUACCUGUUUGUUUUACUUGAAAUUUUCUUUUUGUAAUGGUAUUCGAUUUGAAUUUUGAGAGAAUUUAAUUUCAGGGAAAUUUGAGAGAUUGAGAAGAAAAAAAAAAUCAAUUCUUAGGAAUUUUGAGUGAAUUAAUUAUGACUUCUAAAGAAUUCACAUGAAUUGUCAGAGAAUUCUUUGCAUGGACCUAUAGAAUUCAGAAAGUUUGAUCAUGAAUUUCAAGAGUUUUGUAUGAAUUCUCAUGAAAUCAUAGUUAAUAUAUUAUCAAAAGGAAUACGGCAAAAUGCCAACCCAUUACUUCUUCUACCAUUCAAACCAAAGUCAACGUAUUACCGAACAAAGUAAAUACUUCAAGAUGUAAACACAUCUGAAAUAACCAAACUAAAGUCAAAUUAUAAUCAAACAAAUUAGAUACUCCAAGAUGUAAACAAGCUUGAAAUAAUCACAUUCACUUCAUAUUGUAUUUUAUUGAUUCAGAGCAUUCUUCUGGUGUCAUUUUCAAGAACUCUUUUUUCAUUCCCAAGAGAUAGAACCUUUAUUCAUUACUUAUUUGCUCCUUGGAUUCUAGGAUUUUGAAGCUUGAAUGGAUUCUCCAAGUCACCAGAGUUGGAGGUCUCUAAGUUCCAACACCAAGGAUGAUCUAGGAAAGAAGAUGAGUGACUAAAGAAGAAGAAAAUCUAGCAAUCAUCUUCCCUAGUGGCCAGCCUCCUAGAGAGAAAGAGAGAGCUUUAUGUUCUCUUAUCAUUCCUCAAAGCAACCCUAAUGAAGGAUGGAAUUCUAAUGUUCCUUAUUAAAGGGCUCACAAUUAAUAGAAGCCCUCUCAUUCCCUCUCUAACUCGACGUCGCUAAUCGUACGAUUAAGACACAUGCUUGUUUAGAAGGAGAAAACCUUACUCACUUCAACUGCACAAAGCAAAUAUAAUUUUAUUUCUCAAAUUAUCAUUCGAGGCUUUCUAGUACAAUAUUUAUAAUGGUUUUACAAAUUAAUACACCUCAAGUUACAAUUUCUAAAAUAACUUGACAAAUUCCAAUUUGACAAUAUUUCAAACUUAAAUAAGCUUUACAGAUCUAAUACGCAUGGACUGCCAAUUAUAAUAGACUAUGGAUGCUGCAUCAUUUUCAUCCAAAUCAACGUAGGCCAGAAACAAAAGUGACUCCAGUAGAAGGCAACCAUGAAGUCCCAACAAUAAAAUUUGUAACAGUAAAUUCAACAGCCUCGUCAACUCCUAUAACAUGAAAUCCAGGCCAUUGGACCCUUUUCCCCACCCCAGAACCCGGCCCCACAUUCGCGUACUUUGCAAAGUACAGUGUCCUAAGGCUGGAGCUCCCAGCCCCAUGCCACUCCACCCAGCCACUAGGUGCAAUGACAUCAUCAAUGUUGGAUUCUAUGACAACGAUUCUAGAGUAUUGCUUCCACGGCCUCCCCAGAUAUGAACUAUAUGUUGAAUAAGUGGCCAAGUGGCCAAGUGGACAACAAAACAAAACAACUUUCGGCUAAUAAACAAACCAAAAGAAAAAAAGGUGAAAGACAUCAUGAUGAGGAGGCAUCAUGAUUAUGUUUGUUGAAAAGAAAAAUUGAAGGUCAUGAUGAUGUUUUUGAAUUUUUUAUUGGGUGCUUUUGUAUUGAUGAAGUGAGCAUAUGGAAGUGAGAAAGAUAGAGGAAGAGUGCACCAUUUUUCUGUUUUAGUAGCCCAUCUUUGAGAGAGCAAAGAGAGCUGCAGAGAGCAGAAAACUGAGAGCAGAAAGAGAAGAAAGAAAGGUGAUUUUCUUUCUUAGUUGGUACUCACUCAAUCAAAGUUGUAUUUGUAUUAGCUUUGAGCUUUGUAUAGAGAGGAAAUUAUUCACUAUAUUUCCCUCUCUAUUUGUUUCUUUAGUGAGUGAGAGUUACUGGGUGUAUUAGGGUUUUAGGUUGUGAGAUUGCCAACACUUUGUAAACUCUCAUUCGGUUGAUAGUGGAUUAUUGGGUGAGCUCCUACUGCUCCGAGGACGUACUCCAGUUACACUGACUGUUGAGGAACCUCGUUAAAAUCUUGGUGUUCUUUAAUAUUUUGUUCUUGCAUUUCAUUUGGUAAAUUUCCUGUGGGUUAGCUUGAGUUGGUUCCAACAGGUUUGGUGCUAUCCUAGCACAACAAUUGGUAUCAGAGCACUGGUUGCUCUUGGGUACUAUCUAGUUGCCAAAGAUGUCAGACGGGCAAGAUGAAAAUCCUUUUGGAAGCAGCUCCGGGUUUGCAAGAACUACGGUGCAAAAUGCAAAGUUCGAAGUGGAAAAGUUUGAUGGCACAAACAACUUCGAGAUGUGGCAAUGUGAGGUCAAAGAUGUGUUGGCUCAACAAGAUCUACUUGCCGCUUUGGGAGAGAAGCCGGAAGUUAUGUCGAAGCCGGAAUGGGAGAAAUUAAAUUUGUGGGCUUGCUCUUCAAUUCGGUUGUGCCUUGCAAAAACUCAGAAGUAUUUUGUGAUGCGGGAGACGGUAGCAAGUGUGUUGUGGCAAAAAUUGGAAGACAAGUAUAUGAUGAAGAGUGCAGAGAAUCGGCUACACUUGAAGAAAAAGCUCUACCGCUUUCAAUACAAAGAAGGUACAAAAAUGAUUAGACACCUUGAUGUUUUUAAUAAGUUGAUUACCGACUUGUAAAUUUAGAUGAGGAUAUUAAGGAUGAAGAUAAGGCCUUAAUAUUGUUGAAUUCCUUGCCGGACUCUUAUGAGCAUUUUGUUACCACUAUUAUGCAUGGUAAAGAAACUGUGAAAUUUGAAGAUGUGUCAAAUGCCUUGAUGAAUUAUGAAAUGAGGCAUAGAGAUAAAAAUUAUGAUAGUACCUCUGAAGCUUUAUUUGUUAGAGGUAGAUCAUCGGAGAGGAGGUCAUCUUCUAGCAGGAAAAAAUCACAGUCUCGACCUAGAGGAAACUCUAAAGGUAGAAAACCUUUGGAAAGGGAUGAAUGUGCCUUUUGUCAUAAUAAGGGUCAUUGGAAGAAAGAUUGUCCUAAGUUGAAGACCAAAGGAAAAGAAAGUUCUAAAGCCAAUGUUGCUGAGGUUGAAACAGAUGUUUUUGAUUUUGCUUUAACCACUUCCUCAUCAUUUGAUUGUUCUACUAAAUAGGUGUUGGAUACGGGUUGUACUCAUCAUAUGACUCCUCACAAGGAUUGGUUUUCAAGCUUGAAAGAGUUUGAUGGUGGUGUUGUGUUCAUGGGAGAUGACAAUCCUUGCACAACAAAAGGGAUUGGUACAGUUCGUUUAAAGUUGCAUGAUGGCAUGGUUAAAGAGUUGACAGGUGUUCGGUAUGUACCGAAUUUGAAGAAAAAUCUUAUUUCUUUAGGUACUUUGGAAUCCAAGGGCUUCAUGUUUCAUUCAGAUGGACAGACAUUGAAAGUUACUUAUGGUGCACUUGUUGUGAUGAAAGCUCCUCGAUGUGGCCAUUUGUAUUUAUUGCAGGGAAGCAUUGUGACAAGUGAAGCAUCUGUAGUCUCUGAAAAUAUGGGCACAUCUGAUUCAGAUACUACUAGACUGUGGCAUAUGAGAUUAGGCCAUGCCGGUGAGAAAGCUCUACAAGGGCUUGUGAAAAAAUGUCUUUUAAAAUGUGCCACGACUUGUAAGCUUGAUUUCUGCGAGCAUUGUGUCUUGGGGAAGCAAACUAGAGUGAAGUUUGGUACUGCUGUACAUCAGACGAAGGGCAUUCUUGAUUAUGUGCAUUCGGAUGUUUGGGGUCCUACAAAGACUCCCUCUUUGAGUGGUAGACAUUGGUUCGUGACCUUUGUUGAUGAUUAUUCAAGAAGGUCUUAGGUCUACACUAUGAAGCACAAGAGUGAGGUGUUAAGCAUUUUCUUGGGUUGGAAGAAAAUGGUUGAGAACCAGACUGGGAGAAAGAUUAAGAUUUUGAGAUCGGAUAAUGGUGGUGAAUACACAUCCGACCCUUUCUUUAAAGUUUGCAAAGAGGAAGGAAUUGUGAGACAUUUUAGUGUUCGGGGAACUCCACAACAAAAUGGAGUUGCAGAAAGAUUGAAUCGAACCUUGCUUGAAAAGGUUAGAUGUAUGUUGUCUCAGUCGGGUUUAAGCAAGUCAUUUUGGGCAGAAGCAGUUAAUUAUGCAUGUCACAUCAUCAACCGGUUACCCUCAGCUGCUGUUCAGGGUAAGACACCAAUGGAGGUAUGGACUGGAAAACCUUCUUCUGAUUAUGACUAUAUCCGUAUUUUUGGUUCACCUGCUUAUUUUCAUGUGACUGAAAAUAAACUUGAUCCUAGAGCCAAAAAGGCUAUCUUUCUUGGUUUUAGUAGUGGUGUCAAAGGUUACAGGUUGUGGUGCCCAGAGAUGAAAAAACUUGUAAUCAGUAGAGAUGUGACAUUUGAUGAAGAAAGUAUGUUCAAGGACUCUGAGAAGAAUGUGAAAGAUGUCCAACAGGUGGAGCUUGAGAAAGUUGCCUCUGGUACUUCAAAUCCUAUUUCCGCUGAUGUCGAUGCCACUACAAGUGAAGAAGUUGGAGACCAUGAGGAUGUUGAAGAAGUUGAACUUGAAGAUUCUAUUCAAGUUGAAGAGGAAGUUUCACCUCAAGAGUCUAUUGCAAAGAACAGAGGAAAGAGACAAAUUACCAAGCCAGUUCGGUAUAGUGACUAUGUUGCUUUUGCUCUUCCUAAUAUCAUUGAUGAUAUUCCAUCCAAUUUCGAGGAAGUCAUUGAGAGUGAGGAGAAGAAGAGGUGGUGCAAUGUCAUGGGUGAUGAGAUGAAUUCUCUCUUGAAGAACAAGACUUGGGAGUUAGCUAAAUUGCCUAAGGGCAAGAAAGUUAUCGGUUGCAAAUGGGUGUAUGCCAAGAAGGAAGAUGCUGAUGAGAAAAGCAAUGUAAGAUUUAAAGCAAGAUUAGUUGCUAAAGGGUAUGCACAAAACGAGGGCAUUGACUACAAUGAAAUAUUUUCUCCGGUUGUAAAGCACUCCUCAAUUCGUAUUAUGUUAGCUCUUGUUGCACAAUAUGAUCUUGAGCUUGUGCAACUCGAUGUGAAGACGACUUUCCUACAUGGUGAUUUGAAUGAAGAGAUCUAUAUGUGUCAACCAGAUGGGUAUAUAGUGAAAGGGAAGGAAAAUUUGUUUUGCAAAUUGAAGAAAUCACUUUAUGCCUUGAAGCAAUCUCCAAGGCAAUGGUAUUUGAGGUUUGAUAAAUUUAUGAGAGGCCAAAAUUAUUCUAGAAGUCAAUAUGAUCAUUGUGUGUACUUCAAGAAGUUGCAAGAUGGGUCUUUCAUUUAUUUAUUGAUAUAUGUUGAUGAUAUAAGCAAAGAAGAUCCUUGGCAUGGAGAUCACUAGAAAUAGAGAGAAGGGUUUGGUCAGUUUGAAUCAAAGACAAUACCUUGAGAAGUUGAUUCGGAAGUUUGGAGUUCAUGAUUCAACCAAACCGGUUAGUACCCCUUUGGCUCCUCAUUUUAAAUUGAGUUCUCUACAGUGUCCUAAAACUGAUAAAGAGAAGCUACAAAUGAAAAAUAUACCAUAUGCAAAUUUGGUUGGUAGUUUGAUGUAUGCAAUGGUAUGCUCUAGACCGGAUAUUGCUCAUGCAGUUGGCAUGGUGAGUCGAUAUAUGCAUAAUCCAGGUAAAGAGCAUUGGCAAUCAGCUAAGUGGAUAUUGAGGUAUCUCCAUGGUACUCGAGAUGUUGGUUUAUGCUUUGAGAGGGAUGACUCUGGUAUUGGUCAUUUUGCAGUUGGUUAUGUUGAUUCAGAUUAUGCAGGUGAUCUGGAUGGAAGGAAGUCUACUACAGGCUAUGUGUUUACUAUGGCUAAAGGACCAGUUUGUUGGAGGUCCAUUUUGCAGUCGUCUGUUGCCUUGUCUACUACAGAGGCUGAAUAUAUGGCAGUUGCUGAAGCUAUAAAGGAGGUCAUUUGGAUACAUGAGCUGAUUAGAGAUUUAGGGGUUGAUCAGAAGCAUGUGGAGGUACAUUGUGAUAGUCAGAGUGCCAUUUAUUUGGCUAAGUAUCAGGUUCAUCAUGCGAGGACCAAGCAAAUAGAUGUGCGUUAUCACUUUGUUCGUGAAAUUGUUGGUGAAUGAUAAAUCAUUCUCCAGAAGAUUCCAACUAAAGACAACCCCGCUGAUAUGUUGACUAAGGUUGUUGGUGUAGCCAAGUUUGUUCACUGUUUGAACUUGGCUCACAUUAUGCCUAUAUAAAGAAGGUGUUGAGCAGUAGGAGUUUUGGAGCAUUUGACUCGGCAUGAGUUGUUCUCUUGCUAGUGUUUGGGAGUGAUGUUGUGUGUUAAUUGUGUUGGUUGGCUUAUCAUGGCGUUUUUCGGAACUUGGCCAAGGUGGAGAUUGUUGAAUAAGUGGCCAAGUGGACAACAAAACAAAACAACUUUCGGCUAAUAAACAAACCAAAAGAAAAAAAAGGUGAAAGACAUCAUGAUGAGGAGGCAUCAUGAUUAUGUUUGUUGAAAAGAAAAAUUGAAGGUCAGGAUGAUGUUUUUGAAUUUUUUAUUGGGUGCUUUUGUAUUGAUGAAGUGAGCAUACGGAAGUGAGAAAGAUAGAGGAAGAGUGCACCAUUUUUCUGUUUUAGUAGCCCAUCUUUGAGAGAGCAAAGAGAGCUGCAGAGAGCAGAAAACUAAGAGCAGAAAGAGAAGAAAGAAAUGUGAUUUUCUUUCUUUGAUGAGGUCGCACUUGGUGCGAUGGCAAGUGCCUUCGCCCAUGAGCGGUAGGUAUCGGGUUCGAGACUUGGGAGCAGUCUCUCCAUAAAUGGGGGUAAGGCUAGCCGACAUUCACCUCUUCCAGACCCUGCGUAAAGCGGGAGCCUUGUGCACUGGGUACGACCGUUGGUACUCACUCAAUCAAAGUUGUAUUUGUGUAUUAGCUUUGAGCUUUGUAUAGAGAGGAAAUUAUUCACUAUAUUUUCUUCUCUAUUUGUUUCUUUGGUGAGUGAGAGUUAUUGGGUGUAUUGGGGUUUUAGGUUGUGAGAUUGCCAACACUUUGUAAACUCCCAUUCGGUUGAUAGUGGAUUAUUGGGUGAGCUCCUACUGCUUCGAGGAUGUACUCCAGUUACACUGACUGUUGAGGAACCUCGUUAAAAUCUUGGUGUUCUUUAAUAUUUUGUUCUUGCAUUUCAUUUGGUAAAUUUCCUGUGGGUUAGCUUGAGUUGGUUCCAACGGGUUUGGUGCUAUCCUAGCACAACACUAUAGGAGUGCUUAACCAGAGAGAAGUCCAAGCUGGGUACGAUCCUACAGUUUUGGACCGAGAAUCCGGUUUUUUGUCCAGGGUCGGUCCUCCCGUUUGCCAGGAUUGCAUUGUAGCCCUUGUUCUUGCGAAGCACCAGGUUGCAACUCUGUAAAACGGCAGCGGCGUUGCCAAAGAUGAAGUCUAUGGUGCCGUAGAUGUCACAUUCUAUGUAGAAUUGACGGAAGGCGAGUGCAUAGAGAGUGUCUUGGUACCCAACAAUGCUGCAUCUGUAGAGAACUGAGUGAUCAGAAGCGAUGUAGAGAGCCAAGGCUUGUUCUCCUUGAGGGCCUGCUGUGUUUUGGAACCCUAUAUCCCUAGCAAUGAACCCAUCUCCUGUUAUGGCUGCCCAUGAAAUCCAAGAACAAGAUCGUCAUUUCAAAAAAAAAUUCAAAUAUCAGUAUACGUAUUAGUGUGUGCGUGUGUGUGUGUGUGUAUAUAUAUCUGAUUAGUAUCUAAACAAAACGAAACAUUGUCAUAACAUUUGGCGAAGAGGGAGAGAGAGAGAGAAAGAGUACGAACUGAAUGUAGCUGAGCCAGGCAUGGUGGCACCAUUAGCAACGCUAAAAUCCCCAGUAAUAAUAGUGGAAUCUUUUCCCUCUCCUAUCAACGUAAUACCAUCUUUGUUAGUGCGAAUCUUCUCCUCAUAAACUCCCGCCUUUACAUGAAUCACAAACCGACCCCCGGAAGCUGCGCCAAUGGCUUCUGAUACAGUUUUAUAGUCGCCGGAUCCAUCUUUAGCGACAACGGCAUUGGCUUUUAUGGUGGUUGCCUGAAGUAGUUUCCGGUCCCUGGGUGAUAUCCAUUUGGGAAACACUCCUUGUUUCUCAGUUUCUGCAUUAAUAUGGUGAUUUGAUAUACGGUUGACAAGAGCUAGUAGGUUACUUACCGACUCAGAGGCAUCGGCUAUACGUUUGCCGAUCUGAGAAAUAUUCUGCUUGAUGAUCAGCAGCGUAGUCUUUGCAAGUUUCCUGGAAAGUCAUGGCAGCACUGAGCCAUGUUUGGAUGUCAUGCUUGUAUUUUCUUGGAGAACUUUUGAGUGCUAAUAGGGAUUGGUCUAGCCGCUUCAAGGACAUGUUCAUGAGCUCUUCACAAUAGUCUGUAAAUACACACACACACGAAAAUAACGAGGCUGAGUAAAUAUUAAAGUAUGUAUGGUGAAAGUUUACGUAUAUUUUGUACAAGCAUAACUAAAGAGUGACAUUAUGUAGACACAAGAAAUUGACACGAUUAAUGACACUGUCUAAUAUAAUACAGCUGGAUCCUAAGCAUAUUGAUAGAACCUAUAUUAGAGAUUGUAUCUGCAAUGGUCAGUUUUGUGUCUAAAUAAUAACAUAGUUUAUAAAUAAAGAGUAAUAUGUUCUUGCCAGACAAAAGAUUAUGCAACACGACUAUAUGAAUUUGAGCCACACAGGCAGUAAUUAACUUGAUCAAUUGCUCAUAUUCAUAUAUAGUCACAACUACCAUAAAAAUAAAAUUAAAAAAAAAAUAGUUGUGACUACCACCUUUUUUCAGAGUUAUGAGCACGUUGAGCUUCAUGGGCUCCAAAGUGAUCAGUUCCCAACUUAAUUUGGGAGUUCAACAACAACAACAACAACAAAGCCUUUUCCCACUAAGUGGGGUCGGCUAUAUGAAUCCUAGAACGCCAUUGCGCUCGGUUUUGUGUCAUGUCCUCCGUUAGAUCCAAGUACUCUAAGUCUUUUCUUAGAGUCUCUUCCAAAGUUGUCCUAGGUCUUCCUCUACCCCUUCGGCCCUGAACCUCUGUCCCGUAGUCACAUCUUCGAACCGGAGCGUCAGUCGGCCUUCUUUGCACAUGUUCAAAAUCACCGGAGCCGAUUUUCUCUCAUCUUUCCUACAAUUUCGGCUACUCCUACUUUACCUCGGAUAUCCUCAUUCCCAAUCUUAUCCUUUCUCGUGUGCCCACACAUCCCACGAAGCAUCCUCAUCUCCGCUACACCCCAUUUUGUGUACGUGUUGAUGCUUCACCACCCAACAUUCUGUGCCAUACAACAUCGCUGGCCUUAUUGCCGUCCUAUAAAAUUUUCCCUUGAGCUUCAGUGGCCUACGACGGUCACACAACACGCCGGAUGCACUCUUUCCAUCCAGCUCGUAUUCUAUGGUUGAGAUCUCCAUCUAAUUCUCCGUUCUCUUGCAAGAUAGAUCCUAGGUAGCGAAAACGGUCGCUUUUUGUGAUCUUCGCUAGAUUGCUCCGGUCAUUAGUGUGGAUAAGUAUAUAAAUGGAUAGAGAUAGGAAAGCAAACACAAGAUGUACGUGGUUCACCCAGAUUGGCUACGUCCACGGAAUAGAAGAGUUCUCAUUAAUUGUGAAGGGUUUACACAAGUACAUAGGUUCAAGCUCUCCUUUAGUGAGUACAAGUGAAUGAUUUAGUACAAAUGACAUUAGGAAAUAUUGUGGGAGAAUGAUCUCGUAAUCACGAAACUUCUAAGUAUCGGAGUGUGGUGUCGUCUUGACUUGCCUUAUCUGUCUCAUAGGUAGAUGUGGCAUCUUCUCUGGAAGUACUCUUCCUCCAUCCAGGGGUGGUAUCUUUAACUGGUGGAGAUGCACAAGGUAAUGUAUCAAUUUCACUUGAAGCUUACUUGUAGUUUCAGGCUUGGUCAAGCGCGAUACAAACCAUGUAGUAGGAGUCCCCCAAGUCGCCGAGCUAGGGGGUCUGCUGAAAGAGGUGACAGACAAGGUAAGCAAUCAGAGCUCCGACUGAUUGUUCACCUUCUCCCCAUCUUGCAGCAGCAUGAAGGAUAAAGAGAAGAAAAAUGAGAAGAGAUGAUAUGAGAUACUUUUGCUUUUGAAGAAGUAACUUUCCACAGGCUUAUUCUUGAACUGAGCUGGAGGGUUUUCUGGUUUCCUCCAGAGUAUAAGGCCGACUGAAGAAUUUGAGGGUCAAAACAAGUCCAUCAAAUCUAGAGUACGUUCCACCCUGCUGAUAUGGGAUACUUUUGCUUUUGACAGAGUAAUGGAUGUAUCGGCACGUGUGCUGUUACGCUUGUCUCCACAUGCUUCCUUGUAUCCUUCGCACUUGCCCUAUCUGUUCCUCAAGCAGAUGCGGAAUCUUCCCUGGAAACAUAAGAUGUUGAAGAUGAGUACUCGAGAGCAAUGCCAGGUAAGUAAUCAGGUAAGGGGUUCCAGGCAGUCAGUUCCUGGCUGGAAGCUUGAUUCCAAGUGCUGACUGAUUGCUCUCUUUCUCCUUGUCUUGCAGGUAAAAACAAGGCCAAAAGGAAAAGACAGGGAAAAAGCAUGAUAUGGGAUACUCUUGCUUUUAACCCUGAUGAUAUGAGAUAUUCUUGCUCUAGUAUAGCUUGUUUGCAGAGGUAUUAUCGGGGGGAAAGAAAGCUGAAUAUUUCGAAAGGCUUCGUUGGGAGUGCCCUCUCAGAUAUGAUGAAGGGUUGAGCAUUUUUUGCAGGUCUGCCUGUCCGUUGGGGAUGGAGGUCGACAUAUAUAGGAGUCUCCCUAACAACAAGUAGUAAUGCUAUUCCUUUACCCUGCUUGGUCAUAGCACGGUAGUGGGAGCUGCCAGUUUCACAUGUUUUAACUCUGUCAGAGCACUUUGAAAAAGUGGUCUGUGGUAUCUGGCUCUCGAGAUUCGGAGAACGAUGCCUCUUCGAUUUUUGAGAAAGCAAUCAUGCUGGGGGUCUGGCUCUCGAGAUUCGGAGAGCAGUGUCUCUUCGAUUUUUGAGGAAGUAAUCAUGUUGGGAGUCUGGCUCUCGAGAUUCGGAGGGCGGUGCCUCUUCGAUUUUGGAGCAAGCAAUCUUGUUGGGAGUGUUGUCUCGAAUGUGAGUAAAGGUUGGGCAUGUUUGCUAGUCUACCUUGCCACGAAGCACAAAGGUUGACACACAGGGACUUUCCAAUUAUCCAGCAAUGGUACUGUUCCUUUACCCUCUCUUCGAUUUUGAGAAAGUAGUCAUGUUGGGAGUCUGGCUCUCGAGAUUCGGAGGACGGUGCCUCUUCGAUUUUGGAGCAAGCAAUCUUGUUGGGAGUGUUUUCUCUCGAAUGUGAGUAAAGGUUGGGCAUGUUUGCUAGUCUACCUUGCCACGAAGCACAGAGGUUGACACACACAGGGACUUUCCAAUUAUCCAGCAGUGGUACUGUUCCUUUACCCUUGUGGGUAAUAAUAUGGUAGCUAGACCUUCAAAAUUUAUGUGUCUAAACUUUGUUAGUGCUGUUUCUUUGCUAUUCUUUUACCUUUCUUGGUCAGAGCGAUGUAGUGGGAGCUGCAAGCUUCACGUGCUCAACUUUGGCAGAGAACUUUGGCAAAGUUAUCUGUGGUACCCAUGAGCUAUUGUUGCGUGUGGGAAGUGGGUGAUUGAACAGUAAGAUUCAUGUGCUUUCUACUUCACCAGAAGUCUUCGACAGAAUGCCCAUAAUUUCUGCAAAGCUGAGUGUGCGUGUGACAGGUGCUGACAAGGCUAGAAAAGUAGGUGCCUCUUCGAUUUCUGAGAUCGGCCCUCGUGGUCUCUGAGCAGCC